GUACCCAUUUAAAUACAAAUAUCACCCAUCUAUGCUUAAAGUUUCUUUUUUUUUAUUUUCUAGUUUCUUUUCUUCUUCUUUUUUCUUUAUUUUUUCCUUUAAUUUACUUUUUUUUCUUUUUCAUUUUUUUUAUUUUUUUACUCAUUCCUUAUAAUUUCUUUUUUCUUUCUCAUUUUUUCAUCUAUUUUCUUAUUUUUUUAUUUGUAUUUCUUUUUUCUUUGUAUUCUUUUUUUUUUUUCGCUUUUCCCUUUCUUAUUCUUAUUUCAUCAUUCGUAUUCGCUUCAGACCUACAUGAGUUAAUAAUAUAAGCUUCUAAUUAUCCCAUUUAGCCUAUGUAAUUCAUAACAUCUCUUAUCAAUUAAAUAUAAUCCACAGUCUCACUCCUUUAUUAUUAUUUUUUCUAUCUUUUAUUUCUCUUUCUUUUUUUUUCUUUUUUCUUUCUUUUUUCCUUUAAAUUACUAUUUUUUCUUUCCUAUUUCCUUUAAUUUACUUUUUUUUCUUUUUUAUUUUUUCCACUUAUUUUUUACUCGUUUCUUACACUUUUUUUCUUUCUUCUUUUUCAUCAUUUUUUUCUUUUUCAAUUUUAUUUCUUUGCAUUCUUUUUUUUUUUGUAUUUCUGUUCCCCUUUUUCAUUCUUGGUUCGUCAUUUUUGUCAUUUUUCUUAUUUUUUAUAUUCUUUUUCUCAUCUUUUUUUUUUAUCAUUGCAUUUUAUAUUUUUUUACUUUAAAUUUAUUUGUAUCAUACUAUAUAUUUCAAAUAAAUUUAUUAUUUGUAUUUGAAUAGUUUAGUUGUCAAUAUGUGCAAUUUAUCAUUUGUAUUUAUAUACAAAUAAGUAUAUGAAUUAAAAUCAACAUGAGUUAUGGUGCAGUGGAUGGGGCUGUUCCACGCUUAACCAGAGGUCGAGGGUACGACCCUGGUUAUGAAGAAAACUCUAUUGGGAGAAAAGCAAAAAGAAAAAAUAAUGAAAAAGGAGAAAAGGAAAAAGAAAAAAGAUGAUGGUGAAAACAAAUAUACUGAGUGGUUACGAUAUUUUAGUCAUCAUCCAUAAUUUGUACUCGACUUAAUCAUGUUUUUCGAAAUUCCACAUACUUCAAUAUGUUUAACAUGAAAUUUCUACAUGUUGAUUCGUUCUCCCACAUUUAAAUGCAUUUUUAUCAUGUUAAUACAUUUUUAAUAUUUUUAUUAAUUUCUUAUGUUCUCAUUAGUUUAUAACACUUAAUUGGUGAGAAUAAUUCCUUGGCAUAUUUACCACACUUUUGACACUCUCUUUUCACAACUUGACAACACAUUGUUACACACACAAAUCACAGUUGCAUUUUGUCAUACUAACACUUUGUCGUACUACCACUUGUUAAACAUUUAGAUAUCAUGCCUAUAGGAUUAAUUAUAUUAACAUAAAUAAUUGUGUCUUUGCUUGUUAAUCACAUUAAUCUCUUUAAUAACCAAGAGGCUAAUGUGAGACAUUACUUGCUACUUGACGUCCAAUGUGUUAUGCGUUUCGAGUCCUAAGCAACAUAGCUUUAUUUUGUCUAGACCACAAACCCAAAAUAGCAAAGUCCGAUGCCUCUUGGACAAUAGACGGGAUGAUACGAAUUACUAAAAACAUUAGUUUUAUCCUUGUACUAGAAUGCCUUUAGAUUUGACAUCCAACCUAGGUGGGGUGGGACGGGUAGUCAUUCAAAAAUGAUGAUCUUCAACAUACAUUAAAGGUAAGACAUAUGACUUGUUUAAGAGUUCGGCCAGUGGGUCGAAUGAUGAUUAAACAAGUUGGGGUUCUGAUCUGAAUGAGACCAAAUAUUUGGAGUAGUUGAUUUAUUAUAUAAGCAGUCCUCUUUUUAUUACAAAUUAUGUUAUUUCUUUCUCCUGGCUUGUCUUGUUAUAUGUGUUUACUAUUUUUAUCACUUAGAUAAUUAAAAUUAGAAAUAAUAAAAUAACAUGUUUUGUUCAUUAAUUGUUUUAUCACUUAGUUAAACAUUGAAUUAAUAAUAAAAUAAGAGACCUUUAUUUGAUCACCUAGAAUUCCCACGUAAAAUACAAAUUCGGUCGGGAACCACUUUUGUGGUCCUCAAAAGGUGCCUAACACCUUCCUUUCGAGAUAAUUUGAACCCUUACCUGAACUCUGGUGAACUAACACCUUCCUUUCAAAUCUCGCUUUUUGCGAGAAAAAUGGGGCGCGAUACCAGGUCCUCUAAAGCAAAACCAAAGACAACUUCUCCCAAGAAGUAGAGAAAGGUGUAUGAGGGACCUGGUCCCUUUGAAAGCGAGUCUGUCUGCCUUAAGGAUUGAGCACAUGUAUAAGAUUGUGCACGUUAAAGAAGAAAAAUAUGGAAUGCAUUAUGUCUAUUUUCAAAAUAGAGUGUUCAAUCAUUUUAAGAUUGUUUGUGAAAAGGACACUCCUGGUACUAUUAAGCAGAUGUUUACUCUAAACACACUAAUAGAGAAUGAGUGUGUUGAAGAAAAAGUUGGGAUCAAGUCUCAAGUUUCAGAGUUGAUUGAUGCCCAAGAAAAAUUAAGUAUGGAGAUGGAAGAAUUAAGACUGGAACUAGCUGCUAAGGAUGCAGAAAUUACUCGCCUCAAGUUGAGAGAUAACAGCUAUCAUGACCUGGUGCUUCAGAAGAACUGAAGACUGAAAAUACAGCAUUGAAGACACAAAUCAAUGCUUUGUCUGGAGAGGUCAAUUAUCUGAAUGCAGAAAUCAAGGACCUCACAAAGCAACUUUCGAACACUUACUCUACUGAGAAUGUCAAGAUGGCAAUGCUCUUUAGGUCUCUUUCCCCUAAACCUCCACCCUCUUAAGCCACUCUCCUUGUUACGUCAUCUCUUGAGUUAGUUUCCAUUGUGUUUCCCCUGUGUCCCUGUGCCUGAUCAGUUUAGUUCUUUAUGUUUUUGAAUGACAAUGUAUGGUAACUUUUCGAUUAUGAAAUGAAUGGAACCUUUUACUUGUGUCUAUUAUUUUUCUCUCCUUUAUGGUUGUCAUUCAUGUUAGUGAUGCCUCAAUGGCCACGAGUUAACUUAUUGUGCAUUUUAAUUAACUUGGAUUACUGUCUUUACUUUUUAUGAUGCCAAAAAGGGAAAGAUGAGUCAUUGAGGGGGGUAGAUUUCUUAAGAACCUGGUUUCAAAUGGAAUGAUCGGAGUGCAAUUGAUAGAGAGGAAUCGAUUUGAGAUUAGUUGAAAGGGGAAGUGUUGGAGAAAGGGGAAAAUAUUGGAGAAAAAAUCAGUUUGAGUUCUUGAAAAUGUGCUGAAGUGAGGGGGAAUUUGAGUGCUUUUCAUGAAUAUAGUUUGCCAUCAUAAAACAAAUGGGAAAUUGUUGUCCUAUGUUUUAAUGAUGACUACGAAACAUACUCAGGGACCAGGUUCGUUAUAUGCAUUACUGAUAACUGCUGAAGGAUAGUUGUACACUGUCGCACUCUACAUAGUUUUGUCCUGAAGCAUAAUUACUGUACAGGUGCACAGUGUACAACAAUGCACACCUGAUCCAAUCAAAUUCCAACUGAAAUUCUCACACAUUUAUAUAAGCAAAAGAAAUCAAUUUCAAUCAAUGAUUUUUGCAAUCUCAUUCUAUCAAAAGGCAGCAACAACUCUCGUGUUUGAGAUUCAGAAAUUCUCUUGUUCUUUAGUUUUGCUUAUCUUGAGUUAUGUUCUAGAAAGUGAUUUACUCUCGUGUUUGUGAGUAAAGUUUUUCUCUUUGUUUCAAUUGGUUGCUUAGGUAGAGUUAUUUAAGAAUGGUUAGUUAGAGCUAGUCGAUUAAGUGAAGAGUAAGACAAAGGGAUUUGUAGUAGAGGUAUUGCAAACCUUAAGGAGUUAGAGUUAAAUCCUGCUGGAGUCAGUAAUCAAAAGUUGUUUUGAUUAUAGUGGAGCUUGAGAAAGACUGUGAGAACAGGUUGUGGUUUUCCUCCCUUGAGUAAGGAGGUUUUCACUUAAAAAUCUUGUGUAUUGAUUUAUUUAAGACGGAAUACAUAUACAGGCCCCUGAACUAUUUCACUUUUCCCGUAUAGGCACCUCAAUUAAGUCAGGUACAUAUUGGACUCUUUACUCCUUCACAAAUGGUUUCAAUUGAGUGCAAUUUGCUGAUGUGGCAAAAAAUAUGAACUGCGUGUAAUACACACGCUGAUGAUGUGGCAAAGUAGCGAAUUAAAUAACGACAUGUGGCAUUUUAAUUUAAAAUAUUUAUAAAAAUAAUUUUUUAAUAAAAUUAAAUCUAAAUUAAAAAUAAAUAAACUAAUUAACCCCCCCCCCCCCACCCCCUCUCCUCCCAACACCCCCACCCCCUCACCCUCCCCCCUAAGCCCCCUUUGCAGAUUGAACAAGAAAGUAAAAAAAAACUAAAUUGUAUUUUAUUAAGGAAAAUUGAUGGUUAUUUUAUUCUAUUUCUUCAAUGUGUUUUUUAAAGAAGUCAUUAAUGGAGAAGAAGAUACUGAGAAGUCAUUAAUUAUGGUUUCUCACUCAAUUUAUAUAUGAAUGAUUUUAAAAGAAGCCAUUAAUGGUGAAGAAGAUAUGGAGAAGAAGAUGAUGCCUAUUUUUUUUAAUUUUUUUUUCCUUAUAAUGUGUUUUUUUAAUUGGUUGGGGAUUUUUAUGUUUAAUUUUGUUGAUUAAUUAUGCUUUGUCACUCAACUUAUAUGUGAAUGAUUUUUGAAGAAGCCAUUGAUUAGAUAGACGAUAUGGAGAAGAAGAUGAUGGUUAUUUUCUUUUUUUUUUUUUUUAAAAUUCUUUAAUGUAUUUUUUUUAAUUGGUUGGAAUUGCUUAUGUUUAAUUUUUUUUAAUUAAAAAUGAUUUCUCACCCUCCUUUAGGAGAGUGCAUUACACAUGUCACGCCAUGUUAGCGUCACGUCAGCAAUUGAGCUCAAUUGACACAUUUUGUGAAGGAGUUAAGGGUCCAAUAAGUAAAUAGUUUAAUUGAGGUGCUUAUGCGGAAAAAAUGAAAUAGUUAAGGGGCCUAAAUGAAAUAGUUAAGGGGCCUAUAUGUAUAUAUUUAGCCUUUAUUUAAUGUUUUUACUUUGAGUUCUUAUUUUUAUUAUUAUUUAUAACUCCUCAAGGGACCUGGUCCCCUAGUGGUGGUGAACCCUAACGAUUCAACAAAAUCAAAAUUAAAGGAGAUGAUGAAUGUCUUAUUAAUAAAUUCUGAUCUACCAUAAAAUUUUUGAGAGGAUUAAAUUCUUCAAGAAAACACAGAUUUUUAUAAUAGACUUAGAACUUCAUGUUUUUUCUGUCAAUUUUACUGGUUGUGAUUUUGCACGAAUAACACUAACCCCCUUUGACAUACGGGGAAAUGGAAAAGCAAACAGAACAAUGAUUGAUGAAAUAAGAACUCCACGUAAACCUCAGUAGUAAGAACUCGUCAUUUUGUCUUGUUCUACUUCAGUAUCAAGAUCAUGUUGGCGCAGUUAAUGUUCUUAACUCAUCUUAGUUCACAAUAAAUAUGGAGUGAACGGAACCAGUAAAAUUACGUGCUUUUCAAAUAUAUUCAAUUUCCUUCUAGUAAUGUUAGUAUUCAAUAUUUUCAACUAAUGCCUUACUUUUCCGCAAAUCCUGAUUAUUACUACUCCCUCCGUUCAGUUUUACUUAUCACAAAUUUUCUGAUUUUAUUUUUAGUUUUACUUAUUAUUUUUAACAUAUCAACAAAAGAUAAUUUCUUUUUUUUUCUUUUUUAUCCUUAGUAUUAAUUAUUUUUUCUCUAAAUCAAUUUCAACAUACAAUAUAAAUAUUAUUUAAUAGGGUAUUAUGGUAAAGUAACAAUCAUGUUAUUAAUUAUUUUUGUUAAUCAAUGUGUCAAGUUAAAUUGUGACAAGUAAAACUGAACGGAUGAAGUAUUUUGUAAAAUAUUUCAAAUUUAAUUAUCAACACAUUAUACAUUAAGGCGUGGCAUCUACACUGUUGAUUAAGAAAAAAUAAAAUACAAAAAUCGCCGACUCCAACCUCAGCCCCUUUCACGGUAUAUAUUACUAGUACUAUUUAUAAGGAAGAAUCUCAAAUUUUGGUAUUCCUUAUAAGGGUAUUUUCGGUAUUUUAUUUCUUUAGUUAAAUAAAUUAAGUUAUCACACAUGGCAAUUGAUGGUGUCUUUUUAUUAAAUAUUUUUAUUUUUUCCCUUAUUAUUUUUGUUAGAAUCAUUUUCACUUGUGUACUUGUAAUUGAUCUCUUCUUGCUACUAAUAGAUGACAUUUUAAUUAAAAUUCUAUUUUAAAUUAACAAUUACUUUUGCUCAAAAAAAAAUUAUUUUCAAAAUAAAUUUAAUACAAAAAUAAAGUUUGCAAUAAUUUUCAAUUAGAACCUUUAUAGUUCUUUUAGUAUUGUUCAAUUCUUAAAAAUCAUGUAAUAAAUAAGGUAACGUAAUAAAUAAUAAAUAAUACAUUAUUUUAAUUAUUUUUUAAUUAGUGAGCAUGAAAAAAGAUAAUCAAUAGUUAAAAGAAGAUGAAUAAAAUAAUCUUUUAUAGUGAAUGUAAAAGAUAAACACAACAAAUAAAUGAAUCGAAUGAAAUAAUUUGUUAAUUUAAUUUAAUUUAAUUAUUAUUUAAUAUCCUUAUAGAUCAUCAUUAAGUUAAUUUGAGUAGACUCUAAAUUUAGGUUGUAACUAUUCUUAUAUAUACUUGAAGUCAUUGAAAUAUUUUGUUAUAUAAGAAAUGAAAUUCGAUUUUUCAAAAAGUUUUGCCACAUUAAAUUAUGAAUGAAUUAAAACUCAAUAAAUACUAAAAUAAAUUUAUUUCUAUCUAUAAUUAAGAAGUUACGUAUCCAUAAAUUCAUAAAAAAUAAAUUUAUAUUUGUAAUCUUCACCGAAUUGUAAUUAUUAAAAUAUUCUAAAUCAUGUUAUUUUAUAAAAUAUUGAAUUACUUAUGUUUUUUUUAUUUAUUCUAAUUCUUCGGUAAUACUUCUUCCACACAAAUCAAAAUUUUAUUUAAAAAUAUUCAAUUAUUUGAUUAAUAACUUUAGUAAUUACAAAUUGACCCAAAGAAAACAUGUUUAACAUGUUCAUCACAAGAUUAUGUUAAUUAUAAAAUAAAAAUAGUAUGUUAUGAAUAUUUUAAGAUUUUAAUUAUUACUUUUAUAUUUUGAGUUUGGGCUCGGGCUUAGCACGGGCCUUGUGAAAUUAGUAGUUUGAUAAAGGGCAUAAUUCACAAAUAGCAUACGUAAGACCAUAAUUAUGAGAUUCAUAUCUUUUCAUAAUUACUUAAGGUAGCAACUUGUAUUUUGUAUUAUUACAAACUGUUGCUAUAAAAAUACAAAUACAAAUCAAUUUGCUAUCCAUAUUUAACUGAAAUCUGUUGAGAUAAAUAUUGUAUAAUUACCCUUGAAUUACAUGUGCAGAUUUAUUUUUCAUUUAAACCUCUUAAAUCACGUGAUUUCAGUUAUUUGUUAACAGCAGUAAUCAAAAUUCAAAUUCCAGUUUCAUAAUAACGUGUUCAUGCAAAAAAAAUCAAAAUCAAAAUCAAUUAAAGCUUUUUCUGUUCAAUAUCUUCGAAUUGAACAAUCAGAUUGAAUUUCAUCCAUUACUGUUGUUGAAUCAAAUUCGAAUGCAUCUUCUUCUGUUCAAUUUAUUCGAAUUCAACGAUCAGUUUUAAAUCGAACCAUGAAUGUUGUUGAAUCAAAUUCAACUAUAGCCUUUUUAGGAUAAUUUAUUCGAAUUCAACCAUCAGCUGCAAAUUCAACAAUCACUGUUGUUGAAGGUAUUUGAUCAUUGUAUUUUUAUCAUAUGAAUUUCAUCCGAUUUAAUGAAUUCGAUAAAAAAAUUGUUAUUAAUUUUUUUCCAGAAUCGUUAGAAUUAUUUCGUUUGAAUUUUUUUUAUUUAUUACUGAUGCAUUGUUCAAAUUUUUUAUGUUGUUGUUAAUUUAUUUUUGAAUAAUUUGUAAAUGAAUUUCGAGUAAAAAGUAAUGCAACAGUAAAUUGAAUUGAUAGAACAAAAUAGUGAUCGAAAUCAGUUUUUCAAGUUGAUCAAAUUCAAAUUUUUUGAAGUUUUGAGGGUUAAAAUUUGAGAGUAUAUUUGUAUUUCUAAAAGUUAGUUUAUAGAUAUUUUAGAUGUGUUCGAUUAUGGAGGUUGUUGCUUGAUUUUAGGACUAACGAUGAACAACUAAUGUGUAAUUGUAUUCUGGCUGGAAAAUUUGACUGUGUUUGUAUUUUAAGUUUAACAAAUAUUUUGUAAUUGUAUUUUCAGCUGGAGUUUUUGGUUGUGUAAGUAUAUAUUGUUUACGUUUAUAACUGUAUAAGUCUGUUUAAAUUUUUUUUUUUGUGUAAUUAUAUAUUGUAACUAUUGACAGUUUAAAGAUACACAUUUUUUUGUAAUUUAGGUGAAAUAAGUUAGCAAUGGCAAGAAUUCCAGUUCUCGUGAAGCACUCUGGAAGGUGGACGUAUGAACAAAACUACGAAGAGUACAUUACUAAUGCAAUGUUGUUGAGCACAAUAGCAUCAUACAAUGAACUACACAAUCUUUUGGCAUUUCACAUUAAUGGGUAUUUGAGCUGCAAACGUAUUCAAAUUGAAUAUCAAAUCACUGAUAAUGCAGGGCAAAUCCAAAUACAUAAUGAUAUGGAUUUAAAGGUAUUUAUUUUGCAAAAAAAAGAUAUACAAGACAUGAAUUGUUCACUGUUAAAUUAAUCAAUGUUCUCUUUUAUGCAGAAAAAUACAUAUGUAGUAACCAAUGUUCACUGUUAAAUACAUACGCAGUAAUCUAUGUUACUAAACAAAAUACAUCUGUAGUAAUUCAUAUGUAUAUUUAUGAGAUUUGUUGGUAUUAAAUCUAUUAUUGUAUUUAUAAUUACACAUAUGCAGUAAGCAUAAAAAAUACAUAUGUUGUUAGCAAUAUGUAUAUUUGUAUUUUGCUGUUGUGUUUCCAAAAAAAUAAAUAUACAUUUCGCAUCAUUUUGUAGCGUAUACAUUUACAUAUUUGUGUUUGACCUUUUUUAAUUUAACUUUUUAAAAAUAUUAUUAGGUUGUACCAAUUACAGAGUAUGUGUACACGAUGCAUGACAAAGAAAAACAUUUUAUUGCCUCAAGGAAAAAACACGUUCAUGUAACGUAUUUCAACUGGAGGAGAUACCAUGUGCACAUGCUUGUGCGAUCUUGGAUAGGAAGAAUCUCUUCAAGGGCCCAUAUUGUUGUGAUCUGUAUAAACCAAAAACAGUCUUGAAAACGUAUAAUGUUCCAAUCUAUCCUUUACCACACAAGGAUGACUGGAUAAUUCCAAAUAGCAUACUUGGUAAAAUAAUACUACCUCCGAAGUACAAACGACCCCCUGCAAAACCUGUAAAGAAGGAUCGUGGAAAAUUGGGAAGGGAUAUGUUUGGAAAGAAGAACAUCAACUCAUGCAGUAGUUAUGAAUCUAAGGGUCACAAUAGGCGUUCGUGUAGGAAAUAUCGUAAAUGGUACAUUUGUUCUUCUGUAUUCUUUCUUUAUAAUUUCUUUUACUCUUUUCAUAAUAAUGAACACUUUUGUUAAAUUUAUUUUGUGACGUUUAUCUAUCGUUUGCUAAAAUGCUUUAUAAAUGACUAUUAGGUAUACAUAACUAUAUUACUACAUUUGAAAGAUAAAAACAUAUACUUUUGCUGUGAAAAUACAUAUGUUAGUUAUAUGUAUUUCAAAUAUGGUGAACAAUACAUAUUUGUAAUAUGAAAUGCAUAUGCAUUUCACAUAAUUAUUUACAAAAGAUGUGUAUUCGAAAAUACAUUUGUCUAAAUGUAUUUGUUAAACUAUAUACUAUAACAACACGUGGUAAUCUAUAUAGUGUAUGGACAGGUAGUAAAAUAAAUAUAUGAAGCAGAUUAUGUAUUUGAUAUUAUAUGAUAAUACAGUAAAAUAGAUAUAUAAAGCAACAUAUGUAUUUGAAAUCAAAUGAAUAAAAAGUAAAAUACACAUGCUGUUAACUGCAUAUGUAUUUUAAAGUUUACUCUGAAAACUGCAUAUGUAUAUAUUGCAACUCUGCACAGUGCAUAUGUACUAAAAAACUACUACUAUAUUACCUAUGGAGUACUAUAUACUAGUAUUUCUUUUGCUUUCCCCAAUUCUCAUAUACAAAGUUGUCCAGAAAAUAGAAAAGGAAAAAACAAGACCAUUCCUUCAGUCAUCACAUAUAAUACAAAUCCUCCCUUCCCUCACCACAUCCACCUUCUUUUGUUUUUUUCUGGGCAUGUUCUUGAUUUUUUAUCAGCCACCCAACCUAAUUAUUAUUACCAUUUAUGACUUUGAAGUAGGACUUUGGAAUGAUGCUUUAAUCUGAACAGUGUACCAAAUCAUACUGAACACUGAAAUAAAACACAUACUAUGAGCUUAUAGAAAACAUAUUUAACAUAAAAAGAUUAAAAUGAAUAACCUACAUUCACUUCACAAUUAGUUACUUUGAUUCACUUCAAAACAUAAAAUAACUUUUUAAAAUUAAUAUCAACAUCCAGUUAAAUCUUGUCACUACAUAAUAUAAUAAAAUCAUCAACCAUCAGACUUCAAAUACUUUUGUGACACUUGUUAUCUUGCUUUUCCUAACAGGCCUCAAUGGUGCUUCGUCGUCACUUUGAGCUUUCAUAAAUUUAUUUUGGUGGUGGAUCCUGAAUCAACUGAACGUUCAUCAUCAACGCCAUCCUGCUCUAGUAGUUCAAACUUUGACAUUUCCCUUUGAGUUGACUCAAUGUUCUUAAAUACAACCUAGGAAUAUAGAAAAAAUAUAUUAAAGUAUCUGUUAAAAAAUUGUAACGCAAAUGUAUAUAUGUAGACUAUAAAAUACAUAUCUGGUCAAAAAUGAAGUCGUACCUAUUACCGACACAAAUACAAAUAUGUCCAUAACCACAAAUGUAUUUGUAUAUUUCAACAUUUCAAUAUAUUAAAAAUACAUAUCAAUUAUAAUAAAAUUACAUAUAGCCAAAUACCUCUUCAUGAGUAGUUAAUAUAUGAUACGGGACAAAACAAGGAAACACGAAAUCACACCCCAAAACAGUUCACAAAUCACAACAAAUCGCGGACCAAAUGGGGACCUCUUUCGGAUUCGACAAACACAACAAGAAUACUAGAUAUGUAGGUUUAUUUGACACCAAAAAUGUAACAUCUCAUAUUCAAGUACGUGUAUUGGCGUAUUCAAGUACGUGUAUUGGUCUUAUUUAUAUGGAAUUAAUUUUUUUAUUUUAUUUAUACCGGAAUUUGCCCGUCGAUGGUUCCAUGUGAAGGUUAUUGAAUAAGCUUUCCAAUGAUAUAAAGAUUUCCAAAAACGGAUAGGUUUCGGAUAUAAUCGAGCACAUUCAAAACUAUAAAACGGUGGCUGGGAUAUUUGGGAAUAGUAAAUGUGCCGGAAAAUUUCCUGCACACAAACUACUGAGGCCAAUAGAAUUUUUGGGUCAACUUCGAACGAUCAUAACUCCCUUAAUAUAAUAAACUGGGAGAUCUGAGACCUAUGAAAAGAAAUAUCUUUGAGUCUUCUUUCCAAUGCAAUUGGUUUCAUCCAAAUCCAAUGUCUGAGUAAGGAGUUAUACUUGUUUUACUUCAGCCUAUCAAAAAAAAAACAAAGGACAGAUUUGGCAUUAUUUAAAUUUUAAAGGCAUUUUGGUCAUUUCCUAUUAUAUUAUGGAUGGGAAUAUGUGUAUAUAUACAUGUAUAUGAGUUCAAAAACUCAUUUUCAUCAUCAAUCAUUGAGAAAGAACAAACCCUAGCCAAAUUUGACCUUUAAAUUACUUUUGAUUCAACCGUAGAAAUUCCAAAGUAAUCCGAUAACUGCGUUUGUCAUCUCGAGAGCUUCGAACGGCACCUAUUAUUUGUGAAAAUAGGAUUGCAUAAUCAAGAGGUGAAUUCUAAGGUAUGAAUAUUGUUUGCCUUUGUUCUCUUCCAUAUGUAUAUGUGUGAUAGAGGAUUAUAUGUAUUGGUUGUUAUUGAAAGGUGAUGAAAAUAGGGUUAUGGACUAUUUUGCAUGGUUUGGUUGUAUUGAAUUGUGGAAGGUGGAUAUGGUAAUUGAGUUAUGGAAGGUGGAUAUGGUGAUAUACUAUUGAAUUGAUGAUUAUUUAUGUCUAUGGCUCAAUUUGGUUUAAUGGAUUGGUUGGAAGGAUAAAUGAAUCCAAACUUGAUAUUGGAGGAUGUUGUAUGAAUAUGCAUGGCAUGUGAAUGUAAUUGGAGUAUAAGAGGGUUAAAGUGACACCCUUUAUGGUGUAAUUAAGGCUUACUACUUAACCACUAGUUUGGUGAAUUCAAAUAAUUGAAUUGUGACGUUUGGUCGCUAAUACUAGAUUGCUAUAUAUGUUCAUUGUAGAUAAGUAAUCCGAAAAGACGAGAAGUCCAUUUGGGACUAGUAUUGAAGGUUGACAGUCAGGUAUGUAAAGCAUACUCUAUACCAUAUCUUUGGCAUGAAAGUGAACAAUUGUUCUAUUAAGAAAGUUUCCAAAGUUAUUCAAUAACAUGUGAUCCAUAAUGGUUUUGUAUGAUGUCCUACGUUACCAAUGAACUUGUUUCCACCCUACAAGAUGUCAAGACAUUCCAAUACUUACUUGUUUUCCAAAUCUUACAUGUUUAUUGCACUAAUGAAUGUCAGAAGGUAUCUGGUUACUCAAAAAAGAUCCAUGUGCUAUUGAUGAAUCCAAAACGUUUCAUUGAUAUACCAAUAAGUUCCUACUUCAUUGUUAUGGUAUUGAUAACUCCAAAAUAUUUCAUUGAUGUGCCAAUGAGUUCUUACUUAAUGUGGUAUUGAUAACUCCAAAACAUUUCAUUGAUGUGCCAAUGAGUUCUUACUUCAUUGUCAUUGCAUUGAUGGUCUAUUUAUAUGUCUCUUAUUGAUGUAUCAUUGUUUCAAAGUAUCAAAAAUACGGUGGCAACCAAAAUAACAAUCUCAAAGAUUAAUUGAACUAAGUGAUGGAAGUUCUCUCUUAUCGGGUGGUAUCCCAGGGGCAUAAGCCUAUCAUGGGUCGAUCCCUAUUUAUGUAUUUAUGGGUGGUAUCCCAGGUGCAUAAUCCUAUCAUGGGUCGAUCCCAGUUGAUAUGUACUGGAGGCAGCUUAAUGGUCACAGUACAGUACAGUAAUGAUUACAAAGAUGAUAAGAACGAAGGUAAAGUGAUUGACUAAAUACAAUGUACCCGUGUCACAAGUUCUAGUAAGUGUGGUCCACUCCUAUUACGAUUUAUNNNNNNNNNNNNNNNNNNNNNNNNNNNNNNNNNNNNNNNNNNNNNNNNNNNNNNNNNNNNNNNNNNNNNNNNNNNNNNNNNNNNNNNNNNNNNNNNNNNNNNNNNNNNNNNNNNNNNNNNNNNNNNNNNNNNNNNNNNNNNNNNNNNNNNNNNNNNNNNNNNNNNNNNNNNNNNNNNNNNNNNNNNNNNNNNNNNNNNNNNNNNNNNNNNNNNNNNNNNNNNNNNNNNNNNNNNNNNNNNNNNNNNNNNNNNNNNNNNNNNNNNNNNNNNNNNNNNNNNNNNNNNNNNNNNNNNNNNNNNNNNNNNNNNNNNNNNNNNNNNNNNNNNNNNNNNNNNNNNNNNNNNNNNNNNNNNNNNNNNNNNNNNNNNNNNNNNNNNNNNNNNNNNNNNNNNNNNNNNNNNNNNNNNNNNNNNNNNNNNNNNNNNNNNNNNNNNNNNNNNNNNNNNNNNNNNNNNNNNNNNNNNNNNNNNNNNNNNNNNNNNNNNNNNNNNNNNNNNNNNNNNNNNNNNNNNNNNNNNNNNNNNNNNNNNNNNNNNNNNNNNNNNNNNNNNNNNNNNNNNNNNNNNNNNNNNNNNNNNNNNNNNNNNNNNNNNNNNNNNNNNNNNNNNNNNNNNNNNNNNNNNNNNNNNNNNNNNNNNNNNNNNNNNNNNNNNNNNNNNNNNNNNNNNNNNNNNNNNNNNNNNNNNNNNNNNNNNNNNNNNNNNNNNNNNNNNNNNNNNNNNNNNNNNNNNNNNNNNNNNNNNNNNNNNNNNNNNNNNNNNNNNNNNNNNNNNNNNNNNNNNNNNNNNNNNNNNNNNNNNNNNNNNNNNNNNNNNNNNNNNNNNNNNNNNNNNNNNNNNNNNNNNNNNNNNNNNNNNNNNNNNNNNNNNNNNNNNNNNNNNNNNNNNNNNNNNNNNNNNNNNNNNNNNNNNNNNNNNNNNNNNNNNNNNNNNNNNNNNNNNNNNNNNNNNNNNNNNNNNNNNNNNNNNNNNNNNNNNNNNNNNNNNNNNNNNNNNNNNNNNNNNNNNNNNNNNNNNNNNNNNNNNNNNNNNNNNNNNNNNNNNNNNNNNNNNNNNNNNNNNNNNNNNNNNNNNNNNNNNNNNNNNNNNNNNNNNNNNNNNNNNNNNNNNNNNNNNNNNNNNNNNNNNNNNNNNNNNNNNNNNNNNNNNNAGAACUAUAUCCCCAGAGCCACCUAUUAAUGCUGCUGAUCAAGAUCUUAGAAAUGCAGUGCAACUUUUGACUGGUAUAGUUGCUGGGCAAGCCAUUCCUACCACGGGUUCUAGUGGUGCAGAUUGGGAGGCUAGCCUUCGAACAUAGGAUUUUCUUAAGAUGGAUCCUCCUACUUUUACUGGAUCAGAUCUUAAUGAGGACCCACAGGACUUUAUUGAUCAAAUUCAAAGGGCCUUAGAUGUUAUGCAUGUAAUGGGUAGAGAGACAGUGGUGUUAGCGGCGUAUAGAUUUAAAGGAGAGGCUAUAUAUUGGUACGAGGACUGGAAAUGAUCUAGGGGUAUUGAUGCACCCCCAGCUACUUGGAAAGAGUUCAAAGAGGCAUUUCUUGAUCAUUAUCUUCCAUUCGUGUUUCGUCAGGCCUGUGCAAAUCAGUUUUUAAAUCUUCGUCAUGAGAAUAUGGGGGUGAGAGAGUACAGUCUCCGAUUUAAUUCCUUAUCGAGAUAUGCUCCUAAUGUUGUAGCUACUAUGGAUGACAGAGUUCAUUUAUAUAUGGAUAGGCUGGAUCCAUAUCUGGUUAGAGAUUGUACUAUUACCACUUUGAACAAAGAUAUGGACAUAGCGAGGAUCCAAGUUUUUACACAGAAAAUGGAAGAUCAGAGGCAGAGGAAAAGAACACAGGAAUUAGAAAGAGGAUAUUCCAAGAGGGCCAGAUCUACUGGGCAGUUCAUGAGAUUCCAAGAAGGGUUCAGACCACAGUUUUCUGCUAGACCACCUAGGCCAUUAUCUUUUUAUUCUGCAGCUAGUGCCCCACCACAGUUCCAAGGGUCCAGAGAAAAUCAAUUUGGGCACAAAAGUGAGAGUCAGAGUUCGCGGAUAGUGGGGUACAAGGGCAAGGGAAUAUGAGCCAAUCGAGACCUCCUCGAGAGCCAUACAAUAAAUAUGGAAGGUAUCAUUUGGGCGCAUGUUGACUGGGGACCAAUAUUUGCUUUUGGUGCGGUAUGUCGGGGCAUAUGAUGAGAGAACGCCCAUGAAGGGGCAUAGAGGGUAUGGCAUGACCUACGGGGUCAUUUAUUGCAUCAUCAUUAUCGAUGCCUUAUUCAGGAAGGGGUGCACAACCAAUGGGUCAUGUUAGAGGUGAUAGAGGAGCCACGAGUUCUAGCGAGGCUUAAAAUUGUAUGUAUGCUCUAGCGGAUCGACAGAAUUUAGAGGCUUCCCCAGAUGUGGUUACGGGUACGUUGUCUAUCUUUUCAUUUGAUGUAUAUGCCUUAAUUGAUCCUGACUCUACAUUAUCUUAUGUUACUCCAUUAGUUGCUGGAAAGUUCGAAAGAAUACCCGAACUAUUAAUUAAGCCAUUUGAAGUGUCCAGACUGGUUGGGGAAUCUAUUAUAGCUAGAAGGGUUUACCAAAACUGCAUAGUAAUUAUUUGUGGUCGUGAUAUGAUGGAUGAUCUUGUGGAGUUAGAAAUGGUAGAUUUUGAUGUUAUAAUGGGUAUGGACUGGUUGGCGUCUUGUUAUGCCACAAUUGAUUGCUGCACGAAAAAGGUAUAUUUCCAUUUUCCAAAUGAAUCAGUCCUUGAAUGGAAAGGUGAAAUUAGCGUGCCAAGAGGUAGAUUUAUUUCUUAUUUUAAGGCAAGAAGAAUGAUUUCCAAGGGAUACAUAUAUCAUUUAGUUAGAUCAAAGGAUACAGAAGUGGAGCCACCAACUCUUCACGCUAUUCUGGUGGUAAAUAAAUUUUCUGAUGUAUUUCUUGAAGAUCUUCCAGGUUUGCCUCUGAAAGAGAAGUAGAGUUUGGUAUUGAUGUAAUACCAGGUACCCAACCAAUCUCUAUUCCUCCGUAUAGAAUGGCCCAAGCAGAAUUAUGAGAAUUGAAAGAGCAAUUGAAAGAUUUUCUAGAGAAGGGAUUCAUAAGGCCUAGUUUAUCCCCCUGGGGAGCACCAGUGUUAUUUGUGUGCAAAAAUGGAUGUCUCACUGAGGAUAUGUGUUGAUUAUCGGCAAUUGAAUAAGGUGACUAUUAAGAAAAAAUAUCCUCUCCCAAGAAUUGAUAAUUUAUUUGAUUAGUUACAGGGUGCCAAGUGUUUUUCUAAGAUUGAUUUGAGGCCAGGUUACCACCAAGUGAGGGUCAAAGAGAAGGAUAUACCCAAGACAACUUUCCGAACACGGUAUGGUCAUUAUGAGUUUCUAGUUAUGUCAUUUGGGCUAACAAAUGCACCCGCAGCUUUUAUGGAUUUGAUGAAUAGGGUUUUUAAGCCAUUCCUGGAUGUAUUUGUGAUAGUUUUUAUAGAUGAUAUUCUAGUUUAUUCUAGAUCAGAAGAGGACCAUGCCAAUCACUUACGACAGGCAUUGCAGACUCUUCGUGAUUGUAAGCUUUAUGCAAAGUUCUCUAAAUGUGAGUUUUGGUUAAAGUCGGUGGCAUUUUUGGGUCAUAUUGUAUCUAGUGAAGAGAUAAAGGUUGAUGCUCAAAAGAUAGAAGCUGUGAAGAACUGGCCAAGGCCCACAACGCCUACGGAGAUUCGUAGUUUUCUCGGGUUGGCCGGUUAUUAUAGAAGGUUUGUUGAAGACUUUUCUUCCAUUUCAGUACCCUUAACUAAGCUAACCCAUAAAACAUCCAAAUUCCAAUGGAAUGAUGCCUGUGAUAAGAGUUUUCAAGAUUUAAAGAACAAGUUGAUUUCUACACCCGUGGUGGUACUUCCAGAAGGCACCGAAGGGUAUACAGUGUAUUGUGAUGCUUCCAGAAUUGGUUUAGGAUGUGUAUUGAUGCAGCAUGGUAAGGUAAUAGCAUAUGCUUCUAGACAAUUGCGGCCACAUGAGAAAAAUUAUCCUACACACGAUCUUGAGUUGGCAGCAGUUAUUUUUGCUUUAAAGAUAUGGCGCCACUACUUAUAUGGGGUUCAUGUUGAUAUAUAUACUGACCAUAAGAGCUUGCAAUAUAUUUUUAAUCAGAAGGAUCUAAAUUUAAGGCAGCGGAGAUGGCUUGAACUAUUAAAGGACUAUGAUGUUGAUAUCUUGUACCAUCCAGGGAAAGCAAAUGUGGUAGCUGAUGCGUUAAGUCGUAAGGCUAUGAUGGCGCCUAUAGAAAGGCAAGGGAUGGUUAAAGAUCUUCACCAGUUAGCUAGUUUGGGAGUUCGCCUUCUUGAAACUCCGAAUAAAGAGCUUAUCGUACAUAAUGCUGCGGAAUCUUCAUUAGUAGCUGAAGUGAAAGAGAAGCAAUAUGCAGAUCCUAUUUUAUUACAUCUUAAGGAGAACGUUCAGAGUGGUGCGACCAAGGCAUUUGAGCUUACGCGAGAAGGAGUACUUCAGUGCCAAAACCGAUUGUGUGUGCCGGAUAUAGACGGGCUAAGAAAGAAGAUUAUGACAGAGGCACAUUUUUCAAGGUAUUCCAUUCAUCCAGGAUCAACCAAAAUGUAUCAAGAUUUGAAAGAUAUGUAUUGGUGGAAUGACAUGAAGAAGAGCAUUGCAGAAUUUGUAGCUGAAUGUCCAAAUUGUCAAAGAGUUAAAGUUGAGCACCAAAAACCCGGAGGCUAUAUGCAAUGCAUAGAUCUUCCAAUUUGGAAGUGGGACAUGAUCAACAUGGAUUUUGUUACAGGUUUGCCUCGUACAGCUCGAAAAUUUGAUUCUAUAUGGGUGAUUGUGGAUAGGCUUACUAAAUCCGCACAUUUCUUACCCGUUAAGACCACUUACACAGUUGAAGAAUAUUCGAAGCUGUAUGUUAAAGAAAUAGUCCGAUUACAUGGAGUGCCAACUUCUAUUAUAUCGGAUCGGGGAACUCAAUUUACUGCAAACUUUUGGAAGUCUUUCCAACGGGGUUUGGGAACACAAGUGAAUCUGAGUACAGCUUUUCACCCUCAGACGGAUGGACAAGCAGAGCGCACCAUUCAAACACUUGAAGAUAUGCUACGAGCAUGUGUUAUAGAUUUUAAAGGCAGCUGGGAUGAUCAUUUACCUCUUAUUGAGUUUGCCUACAAUAAUAGCUAUCAUUCAAGUAUCAAAAUGGCACCAUAUGAAGCUUUAUAUGGGAGAAAGUGUAGAUCACCAAUAGGAUGGUUCGAAGCGGGUGAAACUCUUAUGUUCGGACCGGAUCUUGUGUAUCAAGCCAUAGAAAAAGUCAAGGUGAUUCAGCAACGGUUGAAAACAGCCCAAAGUCGACACAAGUCAUAUGCGGAUAGUAGAAGAAGAGGGCUAGAAUUUUCGUUAGGCGAUUGGGUAUUUUUGAAGGUAUCGCCAAUGAAAGGGGUGAUGAGAUUUGGCAAGAAAGGAAAGUUGAGUCCACGAUAUAUAGGCCCGUAUAAAAUUAUUCGAAGAUGUGGGCAAGUUGCUUAUGAAUUAGAUCUACCCCAGGAACUAUCAUCAGUGCAUCCAGUAUUUCAUGUAUCGAUGCUUCGAAAGUGCAUCGGAGAUCCGUCCCUUAUUACUUCUACUGAAGAUGUGCAAGUAACAGCAGAUCUUACCUAUGAGGAGAUGCCUAUUGCUAUAUUAGAUCGACAAGUUAAGAAGAUGAGAAAUAAAGAAGUAGCAUCGGUGAAAGUACUUUGGAGAAAUCAACAAAGGGAAGAGAUUACAUGGGAAGCUGAGGAAGCAAUGAAAUCUAAGUACCCUCAUUUGUUCAAAGAUGAAGAGGAAGUUCAAGAAACGGAGUUAGAACAUUAACAAGUAAGUUUUUGUUUAUAUAUGCAUAGUAUUUAUGUGAUGAUGUGAAUGUUAAUGGUGGACUUGAACUUGUUUCGGCUAAAUAACUACAUUCACAUUCGAGGACGAAUGUCCUUAAGGGGGGAAGGAUGUAACACCCCGUACUUAAUUACGUGCAUUAGUCAUUGUUAUAUGUGUUGGAGUAUAUGUAUUGAUCCUAAGUUAGGUAUAUAUGAGUUUAAGUAUGAGUAUUGAUUAUUUUGAGAUGGUUUCAAGUGUAUAGUUUGAUUAUAGGUGUAUAGGAAUCGACUUUAUUUAUAUCGGAAUUUUCAAUCCUCAGAGAUUACAUGGGAAGCUGAGGAAGCAAUGAAAUCUAAGUACCCUAAUUUGUUUAAAGAUGAAGAGGAAGUUCAAGAAAUAAAGUUAGAACAUUAACAAGUAAGUUUUUUUUAUAUAUGCAUAGUAUUUAUGUGAUGAUGUGAACAUUAAUGAUGGGAUUGAACUUGUUUCGGUUGAAUAACUACGCUAACAUUCGAGGACGAAUCUCCUAAAGGGUGGAAGGAUGUAGCACCCCGUAUUCAAGUACGUGUAUUGGUAUUAUUUAUAUGGAAUUGAUUUUUUUAUUUUAUUUAUACCGGAAUUUGCCCGUCGAUGGUUUCAUGCGAAGGUUAUUGAAUAAGCUUUCUAAUGAUAUAAAGAUUUCUAAAAACGGAUAGGUUUCGAAUAUAAUCGAGCACAUUCGAAACUAUAAAACGGUGGCCGGGAUGUUUGGGAAUAGUAAAUGUGCAGGAAAAUUUCCUGCACACAAACUACUGAGGCCAGCCAAAUUUUUGGGUCAACUUUGAACGAUCAUAACUCCCUUAAUAUAAUGAACUGGGAGAUUUGCGACCUAUGAAAAGAAAUGUCUUUGAGUCUUCUUUCCAAUGCAAUUGUUUUCAUCCAAAUCCAACGUCUGAGUAAGGAGUUACACUCGUUUACUUCAGCCUAUCAAAACAAAUUUUUAGGGUCAACUUCAAACUACCAUAACUCCUUGUACAAGACGAACUGGGUGGCCUACUAUAUAUGAAAUAAAAUCCCUUUGAAUUAUCCUUCCAAUGAUACAAAUUUCACCCAAAUCUGAUAUCGGAGCAAAGAGUUAUGGUCGAUCUACUUUAGCUUAUCAAAACAGUCCACCAAACAACAGAUUUGACAUUAUUUAAAUUUUAAAGGCAUUUUGGUCAUUUCCUAUUAUAUUAUGGACGGGAAUAUGUGUAUAUAUACAUGUAUAUGAGUUCAAAAACUCAUUUUCAUCAUCAAUCAUUGAGAAAGAACAAACCCUAGGCAAAUUUGACCUAUAAAUUACUUUUGAUUCAACCGUAGAAAUUCCAAAGUAAUCCGAUAACUGCGUUUGUCAUCUCGAGAGCUUCGAACAGCACCUAUUAUUUGUGCAAACAAGAUUGUAUAAUCAAAAGGUGAAUUCUAAGGUAUGAAUAUUGUUUGGCUUUGUUCUUUUCCAUAUGUAUAUGUGUGAUAGAGGAUUAUAUGUAUUGGUUGUUAUUGAAAAGUGCUGGAAAUAGGGUUAUGGACUGUUUUGCAUGGUUUGGUUGUAUUGAAUUGUGGAAGGUGGAUAUGGUGAUAUACUAUUGAGUUGAUGAUUAUUUAUGUCUAUUGUUCAAUUUGGUUUAAUGGAUUAUUAGAAGUAUAAAUGAAUCCAAACUUGAUAUUGGAGGGUAUUGUAUGAAUAUGCAUGACAUGUGAAUGUAAUUGGAGUAUAAGAUGGUUAAAGUGACACCCUUUAUGGUGUAAUUAAGGAUUACUACUUAACCACUAGUUUGGUGAAUUCAAAUAAUUGAAUUAUGACGUUUGGUUGCUAAUACUAUAUUGCUAUAUAUGUUUAUUGCAGAUAAGUAAUCUGAAAAGAUGGAAAGUCCAUUUGGGACUAGUAUUGAAGGUUGACAGUCAGGUAUGUAAAGCAUGUUCUAUACCAUAUCUUUGGAUUGAAAGUGAACAAUUGUUCUAUUAAGAAAGUUUUCAAAGUUAUUCAAUAACAUGUGAUCUAUAAUGGUUUUGUAUGAUGUCCUACGUUACCAAUGAACUUGUUUCCACCCUACAAGAUGUCAAGAUAUUCCAAUACUUACUUGUCUUCCAAAAAUAUUUAUAUGUCUCCUAUUGAUGUAUCAUUAUUUCAAAGUAUCAAAAAUACGGUGGCAACCGAAAUAACAAUCUCAAAGAUUAAUUGAACUAAGUGAUGGAAGUUCUCUCUUAUCGGGUGGUAUCCCAGGAGCAUAAGCCUAUCAUGUGUCAAUCCCUAUUUAUGUGUUUAUGGGUGGUAUCCCGGGGGCAUAAGCCUAUCAUGGGUCGAUCCUAGUUGAUAGGUACUGGAGGAAGCCUAAUGGUCACAGUACAGUACAAUAAUGAUUACAAAGAUGAUAAGAACGAAGGUAAAGUGAUUGAACAAAUACAAUGUACCGGUUGUCACAAGUUCUAGUAAGUGUGGUCCACUCCUAUUAUGAUUUAUUUACUUUUUUCUAAUUUCUAUUGAGCUCCUAUAACACAUGUGAUUAUCUAUAGCUUUACAUACUCAGUACAUAUUUCGUACUAACGAUCCCCAUGGGGGACCUGCAUUUCAUGCUGCAGGCACAUGUACCUCAGCUCAUACACCGCACAAGUAGAAGCCAGGAUAUCCAGCUGCUUUUGGUGAGCUCCAGUUUGCUUCGGGACUUUCCGUGUCAUAUCCAGUCACUUUUGGUAUUGUAUAGAAGCUAGUUAUAUGGCGGGGUGUGUCCCGACCUUAGUUAAACUCUGUGCAUUGUCUAGAGGCUCUAUAGACCUAAUGUACAGUCAAGGUGAUAUUUUGUUAAUAGACGUGAUGGGUCCAACGGCCAAGUAUUGUAUAUACAUAUAUAUGUGUGCUCGAGCUUAUACAGUUGAUUAUUUUCUUUUAUAUGCGACAUGAUGCUGUCCGAAUUUCGAGUAGUCAUAGAGGUAUGCAUGGGAAGUAUAAGGUUAUGAGUUGGUUCUCCCGAGCUUCCUCAGUUACGGGUGCCAGUCCGCCCCAAUAGGAUUUGAGACGUGACAAAAAACAGCUACAAUAACAAAAGAUAAUCAACAAUAUGGUAGAAAGAAAUAACACUAUGAUAAUAAGAACCAAAGGUUACAAGAUUACAAGAACAAUAAGAAACAAUGGUUCACUAGACAACACAAACUAAAACAUGAAAUGUAAAGAUAGGAAGUGAGACAUACACUACAAUAAGAUCCAAGAACCCAUAGACAUAUUCCAUCUAAGGACCCCUAGAAAUUACAAUAGCAACACCACACUCUUACAAAGACACGAGAAGGAUUCCACCGCUCAAGCACCAACGUUUCCAAGCAACACACAUUCACAAGUGUUUCCACACUUGUCAUGCCCCUAGUUUUUGGCCUAGAGAGCCUUCUCUCAAGUGUUCUUACAUCAAUAUUUAGCAACCAAAUGAAAUAAACCCUAACAUGUUCUAUUUAUAGACUUAUUACAAUAAUAGGUAAAAUGAUAAAAGUGCCCCUUAGUGUUAAAUGAACAAAAUGGAUCCCAUGGAGUGCAAUAGAGGGACGACUUUUGAGCCCUUUUCACACUCCAACUCAUACACUCCGUAGGUUGCAUUCAACACACUAAAAAAUAUCCAUCUUCAUGAUUGUACCCGUAUCAUCCUCUCCAUUUUGAGAGGAAUUUGACCUCAAAUUUACGGCACAAACCAAAUGAAAAUGGUUCCAAAACAGCCCACAAAAUAAGAAUAAAUCGAGAACAUAAUAACUUCAUUUUGAACCUCGGCUUUCUCUCCAUCUUGAGAUUUGCCUUCAAUCUCAUUCGGUUCAAUUGAGUUUAAUUCCCAGCCAAGAUAGCAUUAGGAACGUUGUUAUUCAUUGUCGCUAAGAAGUUACCUACAAAACACAAACAAAUUAGUUGUAUAAGAAAGGUCCUCACACUUUCUCUUUAUUUCUUUGCCUCUUGGAUUCCUCACACUUUAAUCCACAAGUGUUGUAAGCUUGCUUGUACUCCGUGAGGUGUUGAGAGGUGAACCAAACGUUUACAACAAAUCCAAAUAAUAAGAAAAUAAACACACAAGGACGUAAACACAAAGAACAAUUUCUGAAACCAACUCACAAUCUAGUAAAUGGUCACUAGUUUGUAAGUUGGUAUUGGAAUCAACAAACAAAACUGGAAAACAACAAAUUGAAACUUAAGAGAUGAAAAUUUAAGCUUAAAAUUUUCGUGUGAACAGUAAAUAAUAACGUGGCAGCUACGUAUUGGUUGUGGUUUUUAAACAAGUUGUUAUUUUUCAAUUUGGAAGUCUUGGUCAAUUUUCAAUUUGGAUGAUUGAGAUUUGGUUAAUGGAGGGAAACUACAAGUCUUGAAACUCUUUUCAAUUUUCAAACAAAAGUCUUGACUUGGCUAAUACUAUUCCCAUAAAAUAAGGUCCUUAAAUCGUGGAAGGUUGUUGGAAGUUGUUGUAAAAUCUUUGUUUUGUGUAGGAAAAGUCUUGAAAGAGCUUAAAACUUGGAAGAUUGUUGGAGAAGGCUUAAGUGUGGUUGAAAAAAGUCUUCAAGACUAACAACAAUACCACUCUCUUUCUUCUUAGUGUUAGGAUCAAACAACACAUUUUCUUCAACAAGCUAUGAAGGUGGUGAAGAACACCAAGAACACAACACUUGGAAUUCUAAGGUUCAUGUUGGGAUCACCAUCAUCAACAACACAUGUUCAACCUCAAAUCUCCAACAACAAAAAACAACCUAACGUCCAACUCCACAUCCAUAAUACAACACAUGGCCAAGCUUGAACAACAACAAUAUCACACGGCCACAACAAUGUUCACAACAACUACUUUCAAUAAGUUUAAGCUCAAGUUUAUAUCUAGACUAAAAAAUGUUAGUGAACAAGAAACUAACACUAGAAACGACAAAACAAACAAGAACACUACUAGAUCUAGACACACAACAAACAAAUCUCGGCCAAGACAACAAGAACACAAUUUUUGGCCAAGAAACCAAAAUGGACAGAUUUCAACUUUUCUAGAAUUUUUUUUUCAGUUUUUAGCUUUUUUUUUUCUCGAUUUUCUAAGUAACAAACCCAAGAUUGAUUUCGUAGGAACGAAAUCAAACUAGGCUUUGAUACCAAAUGAUACGGGACAAAACAAGGAAACAAGAAAUCACACCCCAAAGUAGUCCACAAAUCACAAUAAAUCACGGACCAAAUGGGGACCUCUCUCGGAUUCGACAAACACAACAAGAAUACAAGAUAUGUAGGUUUAUUUGACACCAAAAACAGCAACAACAACAAGAGAUAAUCAACAAUAUGGUAGGAAGAAAUAACACUAUGAUAACAAGAACCAAUGUUUCACUAGACAACACAAACUAAAACAUGAAAUGUAAAGAUAGGAAAUGAGACAUACACUACAAUAAGAUCUAAGAACCCAUAAACAUAUUCCAUCUAAGGACCCCUAGAACUUACAGUAGCAACACCACACUCUUACGAAGACACGAGAAGAAUUCCACCACUCAAGCACCAAGUUUCCAAGCAAUAUACAUUCACAAGUGUUUCCACACUUGUCAUGCCCUAGUUUUCGGCCUAGAGAGCCCUCUCUCAAGUGUUCUUACAUCAAUAUUUAGCAACCAAAUGAAAUAAACCCUAACAUGUUCUAUUUAUAGACUUAUUACAAUAAUAGGCAAAAUGACAAAGUGACCCUUAGUGUUAAAUGAACAAAAUGGCUCCCAUGGAGUGCAAUAGAGGGACGGCUUUUGAGCCCUUUUCACACUCCAACUCGUACACUCCGUAGGUUGCAUUCAACACACUAAAAAACGUCCAUCUUCAUGAUUGUACCCGUAUCAAUAUAUAAAUGUAUUUUUCCAUACAUGCAAGUUAGAAAAUUCAUUUAACAUACAAAUACAAUUAAACAUAACAGCUUUACAAAAAAUACAAAUAAAUACAUGUUAACCCAAAAAUAUAUAUUUAACCUAUCAUCUUCACAAAUUAGCUUUACUGAAAUUUCUAAAUACAUAUCAGCUGAUCAGUAAAUACAUAUUAGCUUCACAAAAAAAUACAUAUUACCCAAAUUGAUAACAACUUUACUGAAAUCCCUAAAUAUAUAACAGUAAAUAAAAAUGCAUAUACAAUGAAAAAUACCUCUUCCUCCAUGUCUUCUUCAGAUUUAUUAGCAGAAUAGUUCUCAACAUCGUUAUCAACACUGCUUGACUCUGCAAUUUCUUUUCCUUUUCUUUUCUUCUCAUAUUUUUUUUAUUUUUGUGUCUUUUGGAGAUGAAAUUUUUUUUAAUCAUUUUAUUUCAAAAUAUCAGCCAUCUUCAAAAAAAUCCAACCACUAAUAAGAAUAAAUCAGCCCAAAAUCAUCUACAAUAUCCAUUCAACUCCGAUUAUCCUUCGUUAAUCGUAACAAAAAAACUCAGUUCCAAUUCUUAUCCAAAAUUUAAUUUUUUCAACUAUAUCAACUCAUAAAACAUCAAAUUUCAUUGAAAAUCAAACAAAAUAAAAUUCAGCAAAUCCGAUCACCUUGAUUCUACGUUAACAAAUUCAAAAAUCAAAACCUUAAAGAUGAAGUGAAAAAAUUAUUUACAGUACAAAAUUAAAAAAAAAAUUAAGAAAUUGAUAACAUGUAAUAACUGAAUUAAUUAGUUACCUGAAAAUGUGGAUCGAUAUCCUUAUCAGAUUGUGCAAAAGACGUUAAGAAGGAAAAAAUUUUGAAAGAGAAAAUCUAGAAAAAAAAUGUGAAAGUGGUAAAGUAAAACACAAUUAAAGGAAAGAGAAAGAUUUGAAGCGUGAAAAAUGGAACCUCAAACACGGUAACUUCUGAGAGGUGGUAAGUGUGGUUCCCCACUCAAAAUAAUGCUAGGUUUGCUACACAAGGUAAUUUCAUUAAAGUGUUGCUAUUUUUUAUAAUUUAAGGGGUCGUUUGAUAGGCUGUAUUAGAAAAAAUAGUCCAUGUAUUAAGUGUGGUAUUAACUAAUACUAUGUUUGGUAGGAUUUUGGAUCAAUGUAUUACUAAUACCAUGUAUUAGUUAUACACCCUACAUGGUAUUAUAGGGUGUAUUACUAAUACAUCACAUAUGGUGGUAUUAGUAAUACAUGGGUUUUAAUACCAUUGGAUUAGUAUGUGUAAAUACAAAAAUAUUUCUCAAAUUCUUUUAAACAUUUUUUAUUUUCUUAAUUUUAUUUUUAAUAUUUGUACUAAUAAAUUAGUUUACAAAUUUUAUUAUUAUUUACAAAAAUGUCCUCAAAUUUCUUUAAUUUUUUUUCUAAAUCUUUUUCAAUUUAUUCAAUAUGGGUUACUUCUUUUCAAUUUCUUAAAAUAAUAAUAUCCCUUCAAAUAAUUUUAGUUAUAAAAAAACUAGUCCAUUAACUUAAAAAAUAUUUAUUGGUCAAAAUCCAAAAAAAAAUUGCAUACAAGCUUUAAUUUUGUAAAUAGGAUAUUUAUAAAUAAAAAUAAUUUUUCUACUUAGUUUAACAGUCUAUAAAAUACAAUUUUAUGUUAAUAAUGAUUUUAUUGUCUCAUCCAAAAGUUAUAUAUACCUCCCUCCUACUUAAAAAUACCACAAAGUGGGAACAUCAAGCAAAUAAUGAACAAAUAAAGAAAAAAGAUAAUUAAAAAAAUAAUUUUUGUAAGUGAAUGGUUAAAUCUUAAAAUUCUAAAGUAAAUAAUUAGUUAUAUUGUUAACUUUUUUUAUUUUAAAAAAAGAAUAACAAACUUUUGUAAAGAAAAUACACAAAGUUAUAAUAUGUUGAGGGUAUUUUUGUAAACAAACAAUAUUGUUUUAAGGGAAAAGACUCAAAUAUGCCACUGAACUAUCAGAAAUGACUCAUUUAUGUCAUCCGUUAAAAGUUGGGCUCAUUCAUGCCAUCGCCGUUACCAAAUUGGCUCAUCCAUGCCAUUACUUUUAACAACCGAUUUUUAAGAAAACAACUUUGCCACAUGGCAGCAUAUUAGAGGUUCCACGUCAUUUUUUUAAAAAAUUAAUUUUAAAAAAUUAUAAUUUUUUUUAUUAUAAAUAUUUUUUAAAAAAUAAAUUAAAAAAAUCCCUCAACUUCCCAACCUUAUACAUUAUAUAUUUAUAAAAAAAAUCUUAUCCUAAAGAAAACUACCCCAAUCAUCCCCACCUUUUCCUCAAGCCCCUCAACUCCCUCAACUUCUCAACCUUAUACAUUAUAUAGUACACCCACACAGACAUAAAGUGGGACAUAAAAAAACACAAAGAUAAGGGAAACGAAUAGGGAGGAUAAGGGAAACAAAAAAGACAAAAACAGGAAGAAAGGGAGAGGGACCUUGAAAAAAAAAACACGGACUGGGAGAGAAAAACAAGAAAAGAGAAGAGUGAAGAAGAAAAGGGAGUAACAUUUGACAAAAACAAAAACAAAUAACAUAAACGGGUAGACAACGAGUUGGAGUUUGAGGUUUGGUUCGUGAUUUCGAGUUCGCAGCUUCUUUCUUUUGUUGGCAACUAUUUUUUCAAAAGGUAAUCCUUCACCUUUCUUUGAAUAAUAUAAUAUCGUGAUUAUGCGAAAUUCAAUUCCAAUAUUAUGAAGUGGAGUUGCUCUUAUUUUACAUUUGUUGUUGUAAUAUUAGAGUAUUCAAAUCUUUGUUAUGAUUAAAUUUGAAGUGAGAUUUGAUAUAAUAUAUGAUCCAUGCAUGCAUGCAUAUAAAUGAUUAUAAAAAAAUAAUAAAUGAUAACGUACACAUCCACACACAAUACUUUACUACGUACAUUUUGCAUGCAUACACACAAAGAGGGCGAGAAAAGUAAGGAAAAGAGAAUGCACCAACAGAAGAAAUUGUUCACAUUUUUGCAUUCUUUUUCUUUCUCUAUCAUGUACUUUUCGAAGUGUUAAGAAGGAUUAACCAUUUAAGGUCUUUGAAUUGAUCAUUUUAAUAUGAUCACCUUUUUCAUUUGGCAAAAUAUGACAAGAAUACGGUUCCGUCCUUUAUUAUCAUUGCAUAUAAGGACUAGCAAUGGUUAUGAUGAACUAGAAUUUCGGGGUUUGAAUAUUUUGGGUUCAUGUAUAAAUAAAUACCUAGAAGAUUGGCCAAAUAUAUAUAUAAUUAUUUUUAAAAAUAAGAAUAAAAAAAAAACACGAACAUUAGUUAUAUGCAAAAUUUAUUAUUUGUUAUUUGAUAAAUAAAAGCAUAAUUAUAUAAAAAAAAUUAUAAAUAUUUUUUUAAAAUUUUUUUUUAUAAAAAAUAAAAAAAAGUGACGUGAACCUCUAAUAUGCUGUCACAUGGCAAAACUGUUUUUUAAAAAUCGGUUGUUAAAAGUAAUGGCAUGGAUGAGCCAGUUUUGUUACGGCGAUGACAUGAAUGCGCCCAACUUUUAACGGAUGAUAUAAAUGAGCCAUUUCUGAUAAUCCAGUGGCAUAUUUGAGCCUUUUCCCUUGUUUUUAAAAUAUAACAAUACAUAUAGUUUUAAUAUAUCAAACCAAACACUGCAUAAAAAAUAAUCUCAGUAUUACUAAUCCUUAUAUUACUAAUCCCUACAUUACUAAUCCCAGUAUUAUUAAUUCAACCUAUUCAGUAUUAUCUUAUCCACUUUACCAAACGACCCUAAGUGUUAAGUAUGCUACUCGUAGUUUUUCCUUUGAUAAAGACGAAGCGUGAGCCGUGAGGGGCCUGGGUAGGAUUAUGAGGAGAGAAAUUAGCAAUAUACGGCCAAAUAAGUGACCAGUUAAUACACAAUGCCUGGUGGACCAAAUGAAUCAGAAAAACAGUAAUACAAUCAUCGAUUGUACUACCAAAACAUAAUCAACACUAACAUUUAUUGAUUCGUUUAAACGUCUAACUAAAGCUUUUUCCUGAUAUGAUGCAAAGUUGAUUGAGCCAAAGUUAAAUUAAUUUCCUCAAUAAUUUUUCUCACAGUUUCAACGAGUUCACGAAGGAAAAUGCAUGCAAAAAGUUUUAUGCUUGAAUCUUACACUGCACAGAACACAGUUUCUUCCAAUAACAAGAGAAAUGACAACAUUAAAGGCACAUUAAAGUGACAAGACUACUGGUUCACCAAGAAAGAAUAUACUUUAACCAGCUAAAAAGAGGUUUUUUCUGUGACUCCGAUUUAAAAUGUUAUUCACUUCAAUGGGUGGAGCCAUGAUUUCACUUACGAGGUUCCUAAUAUGAAAAGUAAAGCCAAAGGGUUUCAGCAUCUUCUAUAUAUACAACAACAUACCUAGUGAAAUCCCACAAAGUAGGGUCUGGGAAGGGUAGAGUGUACGUAGAUCUUGCCCUAUCUUGUGGAGGUAGAGAUGUUUCCGAAUCUACUAUAUAUAUAAUAGUUUUAACCAUGUAUAAACAAUGUAUUUUUUGUCGAGGGAGAUUCGGGUGAACCCCCUUGGCCCUCCUAGCUCAACCCCAGCUCUCUAGCUUAUGUCAAUUCACUAUCGAAGCUCAAAGCCUCAAACUAAACAGAUGUAAAGUGAGAAUAACCUAAAGGCUGUGAAAACUGGUCCCAUUGUGUAGAGAUAAGAACCACGUUCAUUCCAAUAUAUGUCAAUUUCCAAUCUAAUAUCUUAAUAGAUUGUAAACUUUUUAGACCACAAAAUGAUCCUUCCAAAUACAAACAAACCUGCUGCAGUCAGUCAGUACAUUCCAACUUUUGAAGAUAUAAUAGCAAUAGAAUCCUGCUGCUCUAGUCUACCUUUCUAUCUUUUGGCCUAAUCAUUUAUUCUCACAUUUUUCUUUAAACUAGAAAGUCUAGAAUCCAAGUACAAUAUCAUCCCUAAUAUCCUUAAAUCUCCUUUUCUAUUCACAUUCCUUCUCCGUGAAGGUGCUUACAGAAAUGGUAAUUAGACUCGACUACUCUCUUCCAUUCUAUAGAAUAUAACUAUAUUUAUAUUUUUCUAACUCAUUAAAGCUUUCUAUCAAUCAUGCACAGGUUUUGGUUGAUAAUCAUGUUGGCAAAGACGGGGCAGAAGAUGGUAGUCUGGUUGAUUUUCGAGGAAACCCGGUUGAUAAGUCUCGUACAGGGGGAUGGCUAGCUGCAGGACUCAUCCUAGGUGCCCUCCCUAUCACAAAACUUGGUCUAAUAUAUCUUGUCACAACUGUUUUUGCAGUUUCAUAACUGAAAUUUUUGUUCUAGGAACCGAGCUAUCAGAAAGGGUAUGUGUCAUGGGGAUAUCAAUGAAUUUAGUCACAUACUUGGUCGGAGAUUUACAUCUUCCAUCCUCCAAAUCUGCCAACAUUGUCACCAACUUCAUGGGGACACUUAAUCUUCUUGGACUUCUAGGUGGUUUCUUGGCAGAUGCUAAACUUGGCCGAUAUUUGACUGUUGCAGUCUUCGCUUCAAUUGCUGCUGUGGUAAGGUUCUUGCGCAAAUUAAAGAUAGAGAAGUGGACUCCUAUAUUUCAUACUAAUAGACAACAUAUAGCCUAGACUUAGAUCCAGUAAAAGAAAAUGAUCCUGAAAGGAAGACUUUUGCACAAUUCUAGCAGCUAUUCACUUAAAUCAUGACAUGUGUUCUACAUAUUAGCUAGCCUAGAUCAUUUAUAUGAUUCUACAAGUUUUGCUUCUUCUACAUAUGAAAGAAGUAACAAAAUACCAUUUUAACUUUUAAAACAUGAACUUCCCUAAUAAUCUCAUGUCUAACCAGGGGGUAACACUGUUGACACUGGCGACAUCCAUUCGAAGCAUGAAGCCCCCUGAAUGUGACCCAAGAAAAGGUGGUCAAUGCAUUGAAGCCAGCGGCCAGCAACUUGCUCUUCUCUACACAGCACUAUACACCCUAGCUCUUGGUGGUGGUGGAAUCAAGUCAAAUGUCUCCGGGUUCGGGUCAGACCAAUUUGACCCAUCAGAUCCAAAGGAAAACAAGUCCAUGAUAUACUUUUUCAACAGGUUCUAUUUCUGCAUAAGCCUGGGUUCUCUGUUUGCAGUGACUGUGUUGGUGUAUUUACAAGACAAUGUAGGAAGAGGAUGGGGAUACGGGAUAUCAGCAGGCACGAUGGUUCUGGGAGUGGCUGUAUUGAUCGGUGGAACAACGUUGUAUAGAUUCAAGAAGCCUCAAGGAAGUCCUUUGACUAUCAUAUGGAGAGUUCUGUUAUUGGCUUGGAGGAAGAGAAAUCUUUCCUACCCUUCUGAUCCUGGCUUCUUGAACGAAUAUCAUAAUGCAAAAGUCCCACAUACACAUAUGCUGAGGUAAGCAUCAUCUUAGAAGUAAAAAAUACCAGCCUGGAGAAACCUGUCUAACUAAUUGCAGUUACCUAAAUAAGACUAUUAUCUACCCUCAACUAUUCCACGUAAAACACUGGAACCAUGGUAGACAUGGACUAGACCAAUUGAAACAUAAAGUGGACAUGAGCCUGUUCAGGACCAUUCCAAGUUUCCAAGAUAGGGUGGCAUCCCAGUAUCGCUAGGCAGACGUAGCCAUACCAAACAGAAUGCACAAAAUGGGCAAUAGACAACACAAGUAUGGAAUCUUCAACCAAAAUGUAACAGCCAGGAUUAACCAUAAUGUAGUUUUAGGCCAAUUAAGAAUUAUCAUAUGAAAUUAGUAGUCAAAAAAGUUAUCUGAUGUAAAUAUAAGCUGACCAGUUCUAGUUCUUGUUAUCAAAUAGGUGUCUUGACAAGGCAGCCAUUCAUGAUGACUGUGCAACUGCAAAUGAAGAUAGCAAGAACCCUUGGAUAGUUUCAACAGUUACAAAAGUUGAAGAAGUGAAAAUGGUGCUUAAAUUGAUUCCCAUAUGGUCCACAUGCAUACUUUUUUGGACAGUAUACUCUCAGAUGACUACCUUCACCAUUGAACAAGCUACCUUCAUGAAUCGGAAUGUCGGCAACUUUGCCGUCCCUGCAGGAUCCUUUUCUGUCUUUCUCUUUAUUAGCAUACUUCUCUUUACUUCCAUAAAUGAAAGAGUCACUGUACGUAUUGCCAGAAGAAUCACUCACAAUAGCCAAGGAAUUACAAGCCUUCAGAGAGUUGGAAUUGGACUACUACUCUCUAUUGUUGGUAUGGUAGCUUCAGCUUUGGUAGAAAAACGACGAAGGGAACAUGCCAUCCAUCAUAACUUCAAUAUAAGAGCUUUUUGGUUAGUCCCUCAAUUCUUCAUAGUCGGUGCUGGGGAAGCUUUUGCUUAUGUAGGUCAGCUAGAAUUUUUCAUCAGGGAGGCACCAGAAGGGAUGAAAUCUAUGAGCACAGGCCUAUUUCUCAGCACACUCUCAAUGGGAUAUUUUGUGAGUAGCUUGCUGGUGUCCCUUGUACAGAAAGCAACAAAAGGAAGAUGGCUUAAAAGCAAUUUAAACAAAGGAAAGCUGGAUCUUUUCUACUGGAUGCUAGCAGUCCUUGGAGUAAUUAAUUUCUUGAUUUUCAUUGCUUUUUCUAUGAAACACCAAUAUAAGGUGCAAAAUCUUAGCAAUCUUGAGGAUUCUGCAGAAGAGCUUGGGAAUUGGAAAAAUUUGAACCUCAACAACCAGGAAAACAGGCUCGAAGCAGAGGAGGAGGAGGAAGCCUAAAAAUUCCAUGAAGAUAAUCUCGGUUUAAGCUUUUUAUUGUCAAAUACAGCUAAGUACUUCUGAAGAUGGCAUACGACAGCAUAUGAGCUUUCAACGAAUCAUUCAUUUCCAAAGUUUGUACUGUAGGACCGUAUUCAAUUAUCAAAGAAUCAAUAAUAAUUUGCAACAAGUCUUGAGUUCUGUUUAGAUUAAAACAUCCUUUUUUUUUUUUGGAUGCAUUGGAUGUUCUAAGAACAUCAGAGUGAAGAAAUUUGAUCAAUUCAGCAAGCCCAAGGUGAUCUAUUUCCUGUUUUAAGUAGUGGUGUAACUAUGGAUACUUGGUUACUCAGCUAGGAAGGUGCAAUGCUGAAUACCAGAAAACCAUUCAAGUCAGAAAAAGAAGAUCUUUUAAAUUACUGAAUAAACUUAUAUACUAUGGGAUAAAGCUUCUGAUAACUUUUAUCAAAGAAAACAAAGGGAAAUGGAAGAAGGGCUUCUGUCGUUGGACUUCACUAGAAAAUAUUACACUGUUCCUCAAUUUUAGCCCCAUUUCUGUUUGAUGGUCAAUUUGAGUAAUUUUCGCUCCCGUUACUAGACACAAAGUAAUUCACUUUUUUUAAACAUAGCUACAUUCCUACUUGAAAAUGACAACAUGAUACAUUUGAAAGUUUUGGUCACUUUCUUUGUCACUUGGAAAGCAAAAACUGACAGCAAUUAUGGGAUUUAGGAAAUAAUAAAUUGUAUAAGAACAUAAAAGAUUUCAGAUGUUUUUACACAAUUUAAUAGAAAUUUAGAGAACAGCCUAAAAUAAACAAGAUUAGUCAAAAACCAUAAAUUAAUUUGAAUUAUAUCAAAUGAUCUGCAAAGUUACUGCAAACUACUUCAAAAGAGUAAUGGCUCACAACUACUAAGAGAGGACUCAGAGCUCAAUGCUCAUCCUAUGUUUCAUUAUGGGCUAUAUAUCUCUCUCAUUCAGUCGCAAUCACAACCAAUACCCUAACAUAAGCAAUAGCGACUAACCAAAAUUAGUGAUUGUGACCUUCACCAGAAAUUGCACAUUGUUCCUGUUUUGUUUUGCACUUGAACCACUAGAGAUCUUUCUAUAAGUACUUCAUCAUUUAGAAAUAAUACAUCAUCUAUCAACUAAGGCCCAGGACAGAUAGGAAGAAAUUAUCUAGUGUUUUUGUCUCUGUUGGGAUUUGAAUCGAGACCUCAUAGUUAUCAAUUCACUACAUUGAACAUUAGGCUAAGUCCUUGGGUACAUUCCACACAUUUUAUGAGGCAUGCUUAGCUUGAAGGAGUUCUCUGUGGCGGACAUAUUCGAAUGCAAAACAGAAAAAUAGAACAAUUAGGGUCCAAAGGGCAAAAUGAUGCCCAUCUACACAUGCAGCUGUCACACUCUUUUUUCGCUCGAGGUUUCAAGUCGAAGUAUUUUUUCAAUUAAAGUAACAGUAUUGAAUAGAGAUUAUUUUUUAAUUAUUUUCAGAGUCGUCACUUGUAAUUGAGUUAUAGUGUUUCAAGUCACCUUUUUGUAUUCCUAAAAAAAGGGAAAUGAUUCUUUGUUGGUGUGUGAAAAUAGAAGACUGAGUAAGAAAUUCUGUUGAAAUAGAAGACUGAGUAAGAAAUUCUGUUGACCGAGGGGAAGGUGUGAGGCAUCCCUCGAGUCCCGUGGUUCUAGCACGAUCGCUUUUAUUGACUUAUUCUGACUUAAAUUAUUUUAAUAAAUUAUGUUAAGGCCUAAAAUCGCUCAUUUUUAAUUAUAUCAAAAAUAUUUAUUUAUACCUCUUAUAUUAAAUUAGUGAAAGUUAAAAAGUAUUUAUUAAGUUAAUUUUAAAAAAAUAUUUGCCAAGGUGUAUUUUUUACAUCCUUGAAUUUUGAAUAUCUCGGAAAGAUGCGUACGCCGCAUUCUUAAUUGAGACGAUCAUUUUAAGCGUGCCUAAAAUUUUGCCUAGCGUUCAAGGCGUUAAUUCGUUACUUGUAAACUCGAGACAAUUUUAUCUAUGUGAAACACUAUUUAUUCUUAACAGUAAACUAAAACAAUAUUUUUUAAAGCGAUUAAUUAAAUUAAUUAAAUAAAUAUUUAUUAAAUUUUAUUGAUGACAAUGAAAUAAAAUAAUAAAAUAAAUAAUAAAUAUAAAAAAUACAUAAAGCUACCCAUUAAAUAAAUCUUUAUUAUGAUCCUCAAAAUUUAUUCUUUUUAAAUUAAUACAAAUUCAAAUUACAUAUUAUGAAACAAUUUAACUAUGAAAACUUUUUGAGGCAACUAUAUACAAAAUCUAAUCGAAGUAUAAACAUAGACACGGUUCAGAGUUAAUUUUUAAAAGAUUAGGCCGGUUUUGGGGGGAUUGAUGACUAAUGGAGACGUGGGUUUGGUUUAAAUCAGGGUGUUUGUGUGUAAUGAGGAAAAUAUUUUGUAUAUAGUGAGUGUUGGUAGCCGGCUUCUUUAGAAAAUAUAGUUGAGUGGAAAAAUAGUCACCACUGUCCUCUCUUAAUUACUUUUAUCAAAAAAAAAAAAAAUUAUAAAAAUAAAAAAUUCUAAGAUCGCCAACUUUUUUCAAUUAUUGGUAUUAUUAUUGGUUCUUAAAUGACUUUUUUUUUUACAUAAAUUAGAGCACUGAAAUUUUUCUCAUAAAUAAUAAACAAAUACGUCUCCUACUUUUCAUAAUAAAAAUAAUGAAGGAAAGUAGAAAUAAAAAUGACUUUAAUAUAUAUAAGAUAACUUAUUUUAAUAUACGUCUUAAUACAUAUCACAAAUUUAGACAUGAUCUGUUAUUGAGGUAUUGUAUUAGUUAUAUGUAUAUUUUUUGCUUCGGCUUUCCCUUUAUUUUUUCUUUGAUGUGUGAUUAUGAAACUUUUGUGUACAAGUAUACAAAUUAUCAAUAACUUAAUUCUAUAACAUGGAAUAACAAAUAAUCCAUAUAAUCAAUUCACUACAAAUUGAAUAACGCAUAAAACCACUUGAAUAUUUUUCUUCAUAUUUUUAUGGUAAACUUACAACAUAAAAUGGUUCAAGAUUGAAAAAGAACUUGUAAUUAUUUGAAUUGGAUAAUAAUGCGAGAAACAAUCGUUACCGGAAACUUCAAGCAGAAGCUCUAAAUUUUAAAUCUUUUCUUUCUUUAUUUUUCUCUCUUUUCUGAUCUUUUCUACUCUGUGUCUUUCUCACUCUAAUUUUUUAUCAAUCUCUGAAUAGAAUUCUGUCCGUUUUUUUCUUUUUCUCUCUGUGUUUUUCUCUUUUUGGUUAUCUGAUGUUGUGUGAUAGUGUUCAUGUACGUAGAAUCCUCUGUUGUUUUUGGAGUGAAGAGUCCUUUAAGUACAGGACUUUGGGGGGGGGGGAAUGAUUUCUUUAGAAAAAAAUAGAAGAUAAUAAUAAUAUUAAUAAAUAAAGAUAAUAAAUAAAAUAAUAAAAUAAUAAUAAUAACUAAUUAAAUUUUUAUAUUUAAGAAAACUCAAUAAAAAUUUAUAAAUAGCCAAAAUAAAUAUAAUAAAAUAGUACUAAAACUACUAAUUUAAUUUAUUUAAAAAGAAACAUAUUUUUUUAAAAAAAUUUGUAUUAUUUUUUUUAAAAUUGGAAUAAAAUAAAAUAAUAUCCUAAGAUUAAUUUCAUUUAUUUAUUUACUUUUUAACUGAAAAUUUGCUAAAAAUAAAAUAAUAAUUAAAAUAAUAUCGAAUCAAAUAUAAAUAUUUAAUAUCGAAAAAUAUAUAUAUUACACUCGGGGAUGAUCAAAAAUCACGUGUCUACAUUUUGCCCCUUUUUGUUUGAAAUCUCAAAGAGUUUUCAUACAAAGAAGUAGACAAAGAUAUGAUUUUUGAUCCUUCGAUUAUUCAAAAAGAAUAUAAAAAGAAAAAAGAGAUGUGACCGAGUCCUGAUUUUGGAGUCGCCUACAUAUCUCGGGUUAUAAGGGAAUCAGGUCACGUGUAGUUCAAAGGUAAAAUGGUGAGAGAACGAGUUAGAGAUCGAGUGAGGUUCCAUCAAGUUUCUGGUUGACGACUUUUCCUUUUAUAUUCACAUGAAUAACAAAAAUAAAAUUGAAGAUACAAGUGAAAAAUCCUAUCUAUUCAGCUAUUCUGGAAUCUUGACUUGAAUCUUCAUGACUUCUCAAAUGGUGAGAUAGUCGUUAUUCUGAGUUGAACUUGAAAUAUAAAAUGUUCCUCCUCGUUGGCUUUUGACAUUAGAGAGGAACUUAACAAUUGAUUUAUUUUUCAGACUUUCUUCUGGUUUGAACUUGAAAAUCUUCAUUCUAUUCUUCAGGCGGGCUCUUGACUUGCUAUUAAUUUCAUCCUGUUCUUCAGGUGGGCUCCUAACUUGUUACUUCUUCACUCUGUUCUUCAGGCAGGCUCCAAUGCCACUUGAAUUACCAAAACAAGGAAGUACGUCUCAAUGUCAUUUGAAUUACCAAAUCAAGGAAGUGCGUCUCCUUACCAAUGUCGCUUGAAUUACCAAAACAAGGAAGUGCGUUUCCUUAUCGAUGUUGCUUGAAUUACCAAACAAGGAACUGCAUCUCCCCACAAAUGUUGCUUGAAUUACUAAACAAAGAAGUGCGUCUCCUUACAAAUGUUGCUUGAAUUACCAAACAAGGAAGUGCAUCUCCCCACAAAUGUUGCUUGAAUUACCAAACAAGGAAGUGCGUCUUCUCACGAAUGUUGCUUGAAUUACCAAACAAGGAAGUGCGUCUCCCCACGAAUGCCGCUUGAAUUACCAAACAAGGAAAUGCGUCUCCCUACAAAUGUUGCUUGAAUUACCAAAUAAGGAAGUGCGGCUCCUUACAAAUGACCAAACAAGGAAGUGCAUCUCCCCACAAAUGUUGCUUGAAUUACCAAACAAGGAAGUGCGUCUUCUCACGAAUGUUGCUUGAAUUACCAAACAAGGAAGUGCGUCUCCCCACGAAUGCCGCUUGAAUUACCAAACAAGGAAAUGCGUCUCCCUACAAAUGUUGCUUGAAUUACCAAAUAAGGAAGUGCGGCUCCUUACAAAUGUUGCUUGAAUUACCAAACAAGGAAGUGUGUCUCCUUAUCGAUGUCGCUUGAAUUACCAAACAAGGAAAUGCGUCUCCCCACAAAUAUCGCUUGAAUUACCAAACAAGGAAAUGCGUCUCCCCACAAAUAUCGCUUGAAUUACCAAACAAGGAAAUGCACCCCCCACAAAUGUUGCUUAAAUUACCAAACAAGGAAGUGCGUCUCCUUACAAGUGUUGCUUGAAUUACCAAACAAGGAAGUGCGUCUCCCCACGAAUGCCGCUUUGAGAAAUUAUGGCCUUUGAUGUUUAGGCUUUGACAUUAUUGAUUUGAAGGUAACAUGUGUUCCUGAAUAAUGAACUAACUACAAGAAGCAUGAUCGACGUCACCAAAAACUCGAACAGAAAUUUACUUCAACACUCGAUUUACAACUCUUUCUUUUCUUCAACUCGUUCUUCAGGUGAGCUCCUGGAUUUUCUUUUCUGAUUUUUUAAAAUAUGUUCCUGAACUCAAAAUAAAAGGUGAAACAGAAAAAUAACAUCGCAUUCUUCAGGAGGGUCCUGGACAUAAAAUAAAUUUUCAUUCUUCAGAAGGGUCCUGUCCUAUUCUUCAAGAGGAUCCUGAUCAUAAAAAAUAAAUUUCCAUUCUUCAGGAGGGUCUUGUCCCAUUCUUCAGGAAGGUCCUGAGCAGAAAGUAAAAUUCAAUAAACACGAACAAAAGUUUUACCACAUUUGUACUAGAAAAUUUUGUGAGCAUCAUCUGAUUACAGUUUUUGAAAAGUACAGAAAGAGUAUGAAUCAAAGCCCUGCUAGCUAAAGAAAUGUGUCUCGUCAGAGUAAAACUGAGGACCAAAAUUAAAAAGUGUGUCUCCUAAGUGUUAAAUUGAAGGACUCGACUAGAAAGUGCAUCUUCUAGGAGUGAAUGUUCAAGUUAGGAAGUGCAUCACCUAACAAAUGAAAACUGACUUAUUUAGACUAGGAAGUGCGUCUUCUAGGGGAUAAAUGAAAUGACUCGACUAGAAAGUGCGUCUUCUAAGAGUGAAGGUUCAAGUUAGGAAGUGCGUUACCUAACACAUGAAAACUGACAUACCCUAACUAGGAAGUGCGUCUCCUAGGGGUUGAAUGAAAUGACUCGACCAGAAAGUGCGUCUUCUAGGAGUGAUGGUUCAAGUUAGGAAGUGCUUCACCUAACAAAUGAAACUGAAAUACUUGGACAAAGAAGUAUGCCUCUGAGACCUGUGAAGCAAUAUUGCUUCCUACAUUUAUGGAAAUAAGGCAUUGCAACCCUUGAUAUUUAUGCUUUGUUUCCUGUUUCAUCAAAGAUAAAUUGUGAGUUCAAAAAUAUGGUGGCAGGUUUGUGGCUUUAGCUCUGUGGAAAUCACUCUUGCCCUCGUUAUUAUUGACCUUGUUUCCAAUCAUUAGAAUCUGUCACUGACUUGCUGCAUUGCUGAUCCAAACUCAAACAAAUUAGAAGUGACUCCAAGCACAGUAUAUCUGCUUUUCCAUACUUAUCAAAUAAACCCUUUGAACCUUGGUAUUUUAUGAGUUCCCAGGCUCUUUUGUUGAUAAAACUUUCUGCAUGCCUUAUUUCAGCUCACAGUCAUGUCUCUUUCAUAUAUUGGCUUUUAGUCUUGCUUUGUGCAAUUGAAGAAGUUGGUAGCAAGUUUGGAGUCCUUUCUUACUUGACUUGACGUAAAUUUGACUCAAAAAUACAAAAAAGAUGACAAUAAUUUCCGUUUGACGACAAGGACACAAAAAAUCAAAAAUAGCAAAAUAAAAAAAGGAAACAAUAGGCUUUUUUUGUUUUUCAAAAUUACAGAAGAAAACUUAUUUGGGUGUGGUAGCCGAUUCCAGCAAUCAUGACAUGUAUUUUGAAUUAAAUAACAUGAUCUACCCAUACUAAUCAUUACAAAUCUUGUCCACUUAUUGAAUUUGAAAUGAAAUCAUUCUUGAAUAUGCUCCCUCUAAAUCACAAUCCUCCUUCGGCUAGUGGCACCUCAAUAGGUUUCUGCCAACACCUAUUUUAUUUUCAUUUCUUUCUCAGCUCACUGUCGACUUAUGGUGCCCAAAGGGUUUUCACCAAUAAGACUCUCUCAUUUUCAUUCAUCAUUUUUUUAACCUUUUUUUUAAAGAAAAAUAACACCCAAAAAUAUGAAAUAUCAUGUACCCAUAAGAUGUUAAGCCUUGACAUUCUCCAAGAUUGAUCUGAAGGUCUUUCUUUAGUUGUAACUUGACUUUUGGAAUGGGUUAUAAAUAAGGUCGGCAUGUGGCUCAAAAUUUACAUUGGGUAAAACAUACAACUAUUGAAAUCGAUUCUUUUAAAGAAAUAAACUUUUGCCCCAGUUUUAUUCCAUUCUGGGUAACUUGAAUUUUCUUUUGGUUGGACCGAACCCCGAAAUAGAACUGCCUACGUAUCUUGUCAUAUCAAGAAUCAGGUCAAACAUAGUUCAGGCAUCUUGUUCUUUUGCUUGAUUUUUUUUAACUUUGGCUCUCUUUUCUUGCCUUUUUUUUAGCGAGAGAUUUUUUUUUUGCACUUUUUCUGACUAUAUUUCUUUUUCUGACAUUUUUCUUUCUCUUUCUUCUAUUUUAAUUGAUUUUUUUUUCAUACUUUAUUUUGAUUCUAAAAGAGGUGUAUGAAAGAAAAUAAAAUGAAAGCUCAAAGAGGGUAACAAAGGAUGACACAAUAUUUGGAUAGAAGAAUGAAAUGCCUUCGUUAUAUCAAUCCUUAAAAAUGCAAGAAUAUAACAUGAUCUGAGGGUGAAACAUGAGAUCAUACAUAUCUUUUCAACAUUGACCUUCACUAAGAACGUGUACAUGAGUCAAUUAUUUCAUGUUUAUAAAAUAUACAAGUCCACUUGUGUUGUACUUUCUUCACAUGGAUGACUCAUGUCUUUUUGGGAGCUAACUUUCUUUCAUUUUUCCUGACGAUGGGACUAUAUAUCCUCUGAUUGAUCCCAUUCAAAAUGCUUGAAUUAGAUCUUCGAAUUGAUGAUCAAGUCAUUUUUGAUUCACAAAGUGAUUGCCUCAAAACAUUCUAGUGAAGAUGUAACUAGGUCCCCAAAACAUCUCAACUCUUUACUUAUUUUUCUUACAUAUUUUUUUUCAACUCUAAGUUCUUGAUCAAAUGUUUCAACAUUAGAUAGGGUUUUAAGAUCUGGCUGAAAAUUCAACAUGCUUAUCAUAUUACCAGAAUCACCAUAGAAAGAGCUCUUUGAAGAAAAGAAAGAAAGACAAUAUAUAUUGUGAAAUAAAAGUAAAAGGGACACAUAUUUUGUUGACAAAAAGAUAGAAGGGUUUGAACAAAAACAACGAUAAGAAAAUCAGACAAGACAAGUCCUAAACUACAACCCUAAAAUAAUUCGGGUAACAGAAAAGAAAAUAAAACAAACUACUAGACCUCUCCCUAGUAGUGAGAGGGGUGACUUCUCAAUUGUUCAGCCUGGCAACUUAGCCACUGAUUUGCAUAUCAACAUGACUAGAGCUUCCACCACGAUCAACAUCCUGCACCAUAAUCAAUUUAUCUUGAAUCAUUCUUUUUAUUUCUCUUUUCAAAACACGACAAUCUUCAGUACUAUAACCCUGAACAUCAGAAUGAUAUACACAUCGUACAUUAGGGUCAAAGUUUCUUGAUUGUGGGUCAGGGGUAUACCCAAGAAGAGGAGUGAUCAUGUCUUUUUAUCUCAGUUUCUAGAAUAAAAUGGUAUAUGAUUCUCUAAUUGGUGUGAAACUAUCCUUUAGCUUCUGCCUCUUUUCAUUGUUUAGCUUAGAGUGAAAAUCGAGUCUGGAGGGGCUUGGGUAUGCUUGGAGAAUUGGAGAAUGAUUUUGAGGGGUUGGUGCAUGCCAUUGCGGGUAAGAAGGAGUCCAAACAUAUGGUUGUACAUUAUAGAUAGAAUAUUGAGGAGAUGGAAUGGAAUAUAAUGGGUUUUAUGGUGGAACAUAGUAUCGUGGGAGGUUAUAUGGGUCUUGGACAUAAAUUUGGGACUGAGAUUGUGCGUAAGGGUGACGCACACCUCUCCAAUUUUGUCGUGGACCUGGUAUAAUAGUUGCUACAUCUUUUUUUUUUUUGUUUUCACCAAAGCUUCCUGAACCACUUUAAAUUGCUUGUGUUGUUGCUUUUAAAGUGGCUUGGCUGAUAAUCUUUCAGACCUUAAUUCCACUCUCUACCAUCUCUUCAAUUUUAAUGACCUCGGCAAAUGUGUUUCCAAUAGUAGAAAUCAAAUGAUGAAAAUAAUCAGGUUCUUGUGCCUGUAGAAAGAUAUUAAUUAUUACAAACUCUUUUAUCGAUGGUCUGACUCUUGCAGCUCGUUCUCUCCAUCUGAUAGCAUAUUCUCGAAAACUUUCAGUUGUCUUUUUUCUCAUAUUAGUAAGUGUGGUGCGAUUUGGGACUAUCUCGAUGUUAUAUCGAAACUGUUAAACAAAAUCCCGAGCCAUGUCAUCUCACACGUGCCAACGGGAAAUGUCUUGGUUAAUAAUCCAUUCAGAAGCUACCCCUUCCAAGCUUUCUCUAAAGUAAGCCAUGAACAAUUCUUUUUUUCCUCCUGCUCCCCUUAAUUGAUUGCAAAACUUUUUCAAGUGAGCUAUAGGAUCGCCAUGACCUUCGUAUUUGUCAAACUUUGGCAUUUUGAACCCCAAUGGCAAAUGGACAUCAGGAAACAUACAGAAAUCCUUGUAUGAAACACUCAUAAAUCCUUGUAUGAAACAUUCUUUGGUCCUCCCAAUCCUUGCAUAUUUCUCAUACUCUGCUCCAAGUUUCUUACUUUCCUAGUUAUCUCAUCUUGUUCCUCAUUCUUAACAAUCUUUUCAAUCAUGAUAGGAGAAUUGUGUUGAUGAGAAUGAUAAUGUGGAUUUUGAGGUUUGAAAGUCAUUUCAGGAGGAUACAACAGAUCAUGACUUGGUUCCCCCAUAUUCUUCUGUGCUGUCGAUUGAAGACCCAUAGUAGCAGGUGCUACAGAAGUGAAAAAUGAGUUAUUUGUGAUAGACGGAUUUGGUGGGCCCAUGGUAGAAGUACCUAUAGCGCCAGACACAUUAACAUAUGGUCCGAAUCCAGGCGUGUAAAAUGAUCGCUAGUUUGAGCUUGAGCAGGAUUUGGAUCAUUCAUAUUCGCAAGUCCAGGGAUUGAGGAAGGUGGGGCUUGUCCAUUUAACCAAGCUUGGUACAGUUCCGCUAUCUGUUGUUUCAAUAACUUAACCUCUUCCAUUGAUGGUAAUUCUGGCGAAAUCAACUGAUUUUCCUCUUCCUCAUUGUCAGACCUAGGGGUGGCAAUUUCAGCCUAUAUUUGUAAAAAGAAUCCAUUUAACCCAUAUUUAGUGAAUUGAGUCACUCAUAUUUCAAAUGGGUAAAUAUGGACUUCUAACUCAUUUUAAAAGCUUAUACAAAUAUGGACAAAAUGGGUAAAAUAUGAGUACCCAUUUAAACACGGAGAUCACCCACCUAUGCUUAAAGUUUUAGUUUUUUUUUUCCUUUCUUCUUCUUUUUUUCUUUCUUUUUUUCUUUAAUUUACUUUUUUUCUUUAUCAUUUUUUUACUCAUUCCUUACAAUUUAUUUUUUUCUUUCUCAUUUUUUCAUCUAUUUUUAUAUUUUUUUAUUUUAUUUCUUUUUUCUUUGUAUUUUUUUCGCUUUCCCCUUUCUCAUUCUUAUUUCAUCAUUCGAAUUCGCUUGAGACCUACAUGGGUUAAUAAAUAUAAGCUUCUAAUUAUCCCAUUUAGCCUAUAUAAUUCAUAACACCCCUUAUCAAUUAAAUAUAAUCUAUAGUCUCACUCCUUUAUUAUUAUUUUUUUCUAUCUUUUAUUUUUCUUUUUUUUUUCCUUUAAUUGACUAUUUUUUUCUUUUUCAUUUUUUCCACUUAUUUUUUACUAGUUUCUUACACUGUUUUUCUUUCUUCUUUUUCAAUUUUAUUUCUUUGCAUUCUUUUUUUUUGUAUUUCUGUUUCCCGCUUUUUCAUUCUUGGUUCGUCAUUUUUGUCAUUUUUUUAUAUUCUUUUCCUCAUCUUUUUUUUGUCAUUGCAUUUUAUAUUUUUUUUUACUUUAAAUUUAUUUGUAUCAUACUAUAUAUUUCAAAUAAAUUUAUUAUUUGUAUUUGAAUAGUUUAGUUGUCAGUAUGUGCAAUUUAUCAUUUGUAUUUAUAUACAAAUAAGUAUAUGAAUUAAAAUCAAUAUGGGUUGUGGUGCAGCGGAUGGAGCUGCUCCACCCUUAACCAGAGGUCAAGGGUACGACCCUGGUUAUCGAGAAAACUCUGUUGGGAGUAUGCCACCUUAAUGGGCCCUGCAACGCUCGAUCCGAAUUAGUCGGGGAUUUAAUGCUGACACCGGAUGAAAAACCAAAAAAAAAUAUAUGAAUUAAUUGUAUUUUCUUGAGACUAAAAUAUAUAUGGCUGAGGAUCCACAUAGCCCUCGAACUAUAAAUGUUGGACGAAUAUAAAUUAAUAUGCGCUUAUGGUAUUUUAGUUAUCAUAAUAAAAAGAAGGAAAACAAAAAUAGAAAAAAAAAAGUAGAAAGAGAGGUAGAAGUUAGAGAUAGAAGAGAGAAAAAAAGCGUAAAGAAAGAACUGAAGAAAAAAAUACAAAAAAAAUUAAAAAGAAAAAAUAAUGAAAAGGAGAAAAGGAAAAAGAAAAAAAGAUGAUAGUGAAAACAAAUAUACUGAGUGGUUACGAUAUUUUAAUCAUCAUCCAUAAUUUAUACUCGACUUAACCAUGUUCUUCGAAAAUAAAAAAAUAUAAAACAUAAAAUACAACCGAAAAAGAAAAAAAUGAGAAAGAAGUAAAAGCAAAAAUAUAAAAAAUAGAAAAAAAGGCGACUAAAAAGGAAAAGAAAAAUGAAAGAGAAACAAAGGGCAGAGGGUAGAGAUAAAAGAGAGAGAAAAAAAAAAGAAAUGACAAAAAAAAUGAAAAAAAAAAUAGAGGCUACAUAUAGAAGAGAGAUAAAAAAACCCUAAAAAGAAAAAACUAAAAAAAAAAGAAAUGGAAAAAAAGUCAAGUUGAUAUGAUAUAGAAGUUUUAAGUUUUUGACUUAGGAUUUAAAGUGGGUUGAAACCAUUUUUACCCAAUCCAUAUUUGAUCAAAUCCAUAUUUACCCAUAUUUAUAUGGGCGGAUUGCAAUCCAAACCAUUUUUGCUCAAUCCAUAUUUAACCCGUCCAAAUCCAAUCCAAUCCGCCAGUUUGUCACCCCUAGUCAGACCCUACACCCUCUUUGCGGGUCAUUUUUUUUCCUUGUAUCUGGUGUUGUACAGAUGUGAUGUCAGUUUAAACAACAAACCAACCACCAACUACUUAUCUUUCUGUUAUCAAGUAGCAAACGGGUGAAUGUUAUAUAUUUAACACAUUAUAAUGUCACGUUGUAUGUUAUGCUUCUAGAUGCACUUUCCAACCUAUUAGGGAAGACUUUAUGUUUCAUCCCGGCUUUCUAGGCUCACUUUUUUGAAAAAUUUUGAUCGAUCCCUUUAGAGGUUUGCCUACGUAUCAUGCCAAGACAUGAAUCAGAUCUUGCGUAGUUCAAAAAAAUUGAAGAUACGAAGAAAUAUACCUUUUUAUUAUUAUUAUUAUUUGAAAUAUGAGAAACAAAUUUUUUAUUUUUGAAUAACAUUUUUAAUUUUUGAAAAUAUUUUUUUUUUAGAAGGAAAGACAUCCAAUUUUUUUUAAGAUCACCGAAUCCAUUGAGGACUGCCUACGUAUCUCAUUAAAAUGAGAAUCAGGUGUGCGUAGUUCUUGAAAUUAUGUCGUACAAAAUUUAGCCUCAAGACCCCUAAAGGUUCAGGGCUAUUAAGAUUUAUAUAUUUUGUAAAAACUUAGCCUCAUGAUCCCUAAAGAUUCAGGGCUAUUAAUAUUUAUAUAUAUUUUUUAUUUUUUAAAACUUAGCCUCGUGAUCCCUAAAGAUUCUAGGUUAUUAAGAUAUAUAUAUAAAAAUUGAACUUAAGAAUAAGAAAAAUAAUUAUGAAAGUAAUCAUAUUUUCAAAACAUUCCCCAAUAAAUCUAUGAAUAAUUUUUCAAAAGAUAGGGCCGUAUCUUGGGAAGGACAUCCUACGUAUCCCACUAAAGAGUGAGAAUCAGACCCUUGUAGUUCAUGAAGAUCGUAAAAUUAUGUUACUAAUUUUAUUUUUCUUUUAAAAAUAAAAUUUUUCUUUGGAAAAAAUAAUUCACUAAAUGUGAGAAUAAAGUAAUCUCUUACAUUUUAAAGUUGCCUAAAACCGGUCAGCAAAAAAAUAGCCUUCCAAACAAAUGUCAAAGAGCACGUAGGAUACACAUGUUGGUCUUUAUAAAGUAGGUCAUCUGUCCUAGAAAGACCUGACCCCUGUGCCGAGUUUCGCUAAGUCAAAUGCAUAUGAUGCAAAUAAAGCGGUACCUAAUAGGAAUAACCAGAUUCUGAGUUUUCAGUUCUUCUAGGUUUAAGUCUAAUAGGGAUAGGUGUCUAGACUGGCUUACCCGAGCGGACACUCGAGCCGGGGAGGGAUAACUUGAUCGGUAGUAGGGCAACACCGCCUUCGUUGUCGAUUUGAACCCCGCCUAACAUGUGUGACUAUAAUCCUUCUCCAGGUGCCUUGAUACUCCGGCUAGCUCAAAAGAAAGUUAGGAUAUAUACGCUGCAUUCCUUUUAUCCUAUUUUAGAGACUCCGAAGGGGUGCGUAAGAAAAGACAGUUUAUAAAUACAGUUCAACAAUAUCAAAGCAGUAAAUGAGUAACAAGUAACACAAGGCAAAUAAACACAAUAUCAAUAAUAAUUAAAGCAAGUAUAAGUCAAUAUCAAAAAGCUUGAAUUCUAGAGUUUCCCUACCAGAGUAGCCAGAGAUGCCACACCCCCUUUUCGCUCGAGACUUCAAGUCGAAGGGUUUUUUCAAUUAAAGUGACGGUUUUGAAUAGAGAUUAUUUUUUAUUUAUUUUCAGAGUCGCCACUUGGAAUUGAGUUAUGGUGUUCCAAGUCACCUUUUUGUAUCCCUAAUCAAAAGAAAAUGAUUCUUUGUUGGUCUGCGAAAAUAGAAGACUGGGUAAGAAAUUCUAUUGACCGAGGGGAAGGUGUGAGGCAACCCUCGAGUCCCGUGGUUCUAGCACGAUCGCUUUUAUUGAUUUAUUCUGACUUAAAUUAUUUUAAUAAAUUAUGUUAAGGCCUAAAAUUGCUCAUUUUUAAUUAUAUCAAAAAUAUUUAUUUAUACCUCUUAUAUUAAAUUAGUGAAAGUUAAAAAGUAUUUAUCAACUUAAUUUUAGAAAAAUAUUUUCCAAGGUCUAUUUUUUACAUCCUUAAAUUUUGAAUAUCUCGGAAAGAUUCGUACGCCGCAUUCUUAAUUGAGACGAUCAUUUUAAGCGUGCUUAAAAUUUUGCCUAGCGUUAAAGGUGUUAAUUCGUUACUUGUAAACUCGAGACAAUUUUAUCUAUGUGAAACACUAUUUAUUCUUAACAGUAAACUAAAGCAAUAUUUUUUAAAGUGAUCAAUUAAAUUAAUUAAAGAAAUAUUUAUUAAAUUUUAUUGAUGACAAUGAAAUAAAAUAAUAAAAUAAAUAAUAAAUAUAAAAAAUACAUAAAGCUACCCAUUAAAUAAAUCUUUAUUAUGAUCCUCAAAAUUUAUUCUUUUUAAAUUAAUACAAAUUCAAAUUACAUAUUAUGAAACAAUUUAACUAUGAAAACUUUUUGAGGCAACUAUAUACAAAAUCUAAUCGAAAUAUAAACAUAGACACGGUUCAGAGUCAAUUUUUAAAAGAUUAGGCCGGUUUUGGGGAGGUUGAUGACUGGUGGAGACGUGGGUGUUUGGUUUAAAUCAGGAUGUUUGUGUGUAAUGAGGAAAAUAUUUUGUAUAUAGUGAGUGUUGGUUGCCGGCUUCUUUAGAAAAUAUAGUUGAGUGGAAAAAUAGUCACCACUGUCCUCUCUUAAUUACUUUUAUCAAAAAAAAAAAAUUAUAAAAAUAAAAAUAAAAAAUUCUAAGAUCACCAAAUUUUCUCAAUUAUUGGUCUUAUUAUUGGUUCUUAAAUGACUUUUUUUUUUUUACAUAAAUUAGAGCACUGAAUUUUUCUCAUAAAUAAUAAACAAAUACGUCUCCUACUUUUCAUAAUCUGAUUAAAAAAGGAUAAAAGUAAUGAAGGAAAGUAGAAAUAAAAAUGACUUUAAUAUAUAUAAGAUACCUUAUUUUAAUAUACUUCUUAAUACAUAUCACAAAUUUAGACAUGAUCUGUUAUUAAGGUAUUGUAUUAUUUAUAUGUAUAUUUUUUGCUCCGGCUUUCCCUUUGUUUUCUCUUUGUUUUUUUUUCUCAUGUGUGCGUCUAGCGAUGUGUGAUUAUGAAACUUUUGUGCACAAGUAUACAAAUUAUCAAUAACUUAAUUCUAUAACAUGGAAUAACAAAUAAUCCAUAUAAUCAAUUCACUACAAACUGAAUAACGCAUAAAACCACUUGAAUAUUUUUCUUCAUAUCUUUUCAGUAAACUUACAACAUAAAAUGGUUCAAGAUUGAAAAAGAACCUGUAAUUAUUUGAAUUGGAUAAUAAUGCGAGAAACAAUCGUUACCGAAAACUUCAAGAGGAAACUCUAAACUUUAAAUCUUUUCUUUCUUUAUUUUUCUCUCUUUUUUUUCUGAUCUGUUCUACUCUGUAUUUUUCUCACUCUGAUUUUUUAUCAGUCUCUAAAUAGAAUUCUGUCCAUUCUUUUUUUUUCUCUCUCUGUGUUUUUCUCUUUCUGGUUAUCUGAUGUUGUGUGAUAGUGUUCAUGUACUUAGAAUCCUCUGUUGUUUUUGGAAUGAAGAGUCCUUUAAGUACAGGACUUUGGGGGCGAAAUUUUAUAAUUUAUUUAUUUAUUUAUUUAUUUUCUUAAAAUAUGACAAUAAUAAUAAUAAAUAAAAUAAUAAAUAAAAUAAUAAUAAUAAUAAUGAUAAAUAUAAUAAUAACUAAUUAAAUUUUUAUAUUUAAGAAAACACAAUAAAAAUUUAUAAAUAGCCAAAAUAAAUAUAAUAAAAUAGUACUAAAACUAUUAAUUUAAUUAAUUUAAAAAGAAACAUUUUUUUUUUAAUUUUUUGUAUUAUUAUUUUUUUAAUUUGAAUAAAAUAAAAUAAUAUCCCAAGAUUAGUUUCAUUUAUUUAUUUAUUUAUUAACUUAAAAUUUGCUAAAAAUAAAAUAAUAAUUAAAAUAAUAUCGAAUCAAAUAUAAAUAUUUAAUAUCGAAAAAUAUAUAUAUUACACUCGGGGAUGGUCAAAAAUCACGUGUCUACAACAGGUAUAUAUAAUCUAAUAAAUGCUCUAUGUUUAAGACGAAUAACAAAUGAAACAACAGCUAGCAUAAGGGAACAAGUACUAAAUGAACGAUUUUGCAAGGUUGAAUGAGGAUAAGAUGAUAUUUAUCUAGUGGUCAAUGAACGAUUUUGCAGGGUUGAAUGAGGAUAGGAUGAUAUUUACCUAAUGGUCAAUGAACUAUUUUGCACCAUUGAAGAUUCAACUUCAUCUUCACAAUGAUAUGAAUUAUUUUUAGAUUACGAGGGAAUCUAUGUAUGGUGGAAUAAGUAAUACAUGAAUAACUAAAUACUGCAUAAAAAUACAUAAACUUGCUCAUAACUAAUCUAUGUAUUUUCUUUUGGUCAAACGAAAAAAAAUUUAUUCAACCGGUGAACAUUAUGUACAACUAACAUUGGGACUCAGCUAGUGAUUCUCAAUACAUCAUCAAACUUAUCUAUAUAGCCUAUCAACAGGCUAAGUCUAGACAAUGGGAAAACAAUUUAAUAAUGCAUAACUUUAACCUGCUACCAAAUGACCCCUAAAGGAACUAUAUUGCAGGGUUGAACGAGGGUUGGGGAUUAUCUUUAUUCUUCACCUAUGCUAAUUACUGAAGCACCAUUGAAGAUUCAACUUCAUCAUCAGUUCCUGCCAACAAUAGUAUUCAUAAAAAAUGAAUUACUUCCUUUCACAUUCCAACGCCAAAUUGGGUAGUUAUAUGAACCAGGAUGGGAUGAUCAAAACACUUAAACUCGUAAAAUGAAAUCAUUCAUUAGACAUCAGUUAAAAUGGUGACUCUAAAAGCAGGUAUUUCUGCACUUCGCCCAAUUAAUUAUUGUGGCCAUAUAUGGAAUUUCUAAAGCCUACCAUAAGAAUUAUUCAUUUUUUUACUGAAUAAUUUGUUAAUUUAUUUCAAAAUUACGUUUGCUGAUGAAAAUUUGAAUAGCCUAUUUGAUCAAUUUUUUGGAAUGCAAAAACAACUUAAACAAACAUAUGUUUAAACAGGAUCCACCGGACAUGAAGACCUCCAUGGAUGAAGACGACACAGCUAGGCCAUCCUUCAAACAAAUACUGAUGGAAAAGAGUCUCGGUCUAAACAUUUCAUCUCACCAACGCCCAGGCAAAGGCGUUAAAAUCACCCAGGCCACCCAUGAUGCUAUUCACCUCUUGAUGAUGAGAUCAGACGCAUCCAUGAACCAUGUCAACACUCACUAAUAAUCAAACUCUUUGGGAAGAAACUAGCCCAUCAAUACCUCAAAAAUAAAUUAAGUGAACUGUGGAAACCAACAGAGCCCCUCAUUCUCAUAGAUCUGGGGUGCGAUUUCUAUACGGUUUAAUUCGCUCAACAAGAAAAUACAAACAAAGUGCUACAUCAAGGGACCUAGUUCGUCGCAGGGAAAUUCCUAACGAUACAACAAUGGGUGCCUAGCUUUGUACCAGAUGAGUUCACGCUCACACACACGGCAAUUUGGGUUAGAUUAUCCCAAUUGCCGACUGAGUACUAUGAUAGAUCAAUACUGGAGAAAGUGGGAUAGAAAUUGGGCAAACUCCUAAAGAUUGACGCAUGCACUUCAGUAACCCUUAAGGGCCGGUAUGUAAGGAUAUGCAUGAAGUACCUCUAAACACACCGUUCUUAACCACUGUUACCAUUGGAACGCAUAAGCAGAAGGUGGUCUACGAGGGAGAGGGGAUAAUGUGCACGUGCUGUGGACGUAUUGGUCACGUUACUGGAAAUUGCCCCCAUCACCAACAACCCUCCACCAUCAAACAACCACCAUUGGAAAAUAAUGACAGUGAUGGAUGGACAACAAUCUCAUUCUCAACAAGAAAGGAAAACUCCAAAUCCCGUCACAAGGAUGCGUUCAUCUAGGUAAAGGAGUACAAUGCCCUAACAGGUAAGUUUUCUACUCCUUUGACUCCCUCACCUCUGGUAACGAAUAUCGAAAUCAGUUCAGGCAUCGAUGCUAAUCCUCAUGGGCCCCAAAAACAAAAUAAUGGGCCCAAUAAUGGCAAAAGGAAAUAAAAUAUUGGCCCAGGUCCAAAAUGGAUACCCAAACGAAGACAAACCACUCAAAGCUCUUUGAGCAGCUCUCCCAAUCCUCGGGAUCAACAAAACCAGGCCCAAAGUCACUCGAGUAACACCACUAAGGCCCAAGAACAAAGUAAUAUUAACCCAUUCACUAUUGAGAAUCUAAUACCAAAUCCAAACCUAAAUCAACAAUUGAAUACUGAUAUGACCCCAAGAGUUAAUGAGAUUGGGCAAUUAAAUAGUAAGGUCAUUCCUACUACAGGAAGUGGACCCUCCUCAGAGCCAAUUGUCUCUAACUCUCUUCCCUCAAUCCACUCUGUAGCUCUCCUAAAACUACAACCUCUGGUAGAGAGCAAUCAUUACAUUGCUAGUGGUGACUUGACACUCCUCAUCGUGUCAAGUAACUCUUCCCAUCUAAACACCCUAUCUAAGGGUAUGUUCAUGGAGGUGGAUCCAUCCACUUAUCUCCUCACCACCACCUAAACUCUUCAAUAUGGAAAAUCCGCAGAACACACCCCAGCAACAAAACCCCGAGCCCCUAAUCUUUGUAUCAACACCUCCACCACAUAACCACACACCAACAUCAUGGUUGAAGCUCCUCCUACAGGAUAAGUCAAUCAUUCUGAACAUGAUACUUGGCAACCAACCACUUGUGGUGGUUCUGCAGGACCCAUCUUUCCUUGCACAAGUCCUCAAAGAUGCCCUCAACUGCUCUUUGGAAAGGCUAGGGACCCAAGUAUGACUGCAAACCCUAUUACAUCUAGAUAUGAUAUCAACCACCCACCAAAUACCGUCCUAGGAACUGAACUCAAUCUUCAAUCAGGUGCUCCACAACCUACCUUUCUUUUCAAUGAAUGCACCCAACACAGAAAUUUCACAACCAACCUUUAUUCGUUGGCCAUUCCAGGGGAACCGGACCUAACCACCAUCACCGGUAGGGGAAGAAAACCCAGGAGAAUCAGGAAACUCAAUACUAGAGCUGGUAGAGAAGCUAAAGAAGUCCAACGCAUAACUGGAAACUAUAUUAGCUGCCUUUGGAGAACAAAAAAUAGAGACCUUCUUUUUAGAGAAAAUGAUAAUGCUAGAAUUUAAAGAGCUUACCAGCAAAGCUAUUAUAGCUUAUUGUCCAAUCAUGAUGAGGAGGUGCACACUGAAUCUGAGGAAUCAGAUGGACCAUAUCUCCUCAGUAGUAGCCCUAAAACCGCUGGGCUUGACCAUGGAUUCUACCCAAAGGGCAUUAGCCUUGACUCAGACCCCUCCAAAUAACCAGCUCUCUUCCCUCAUGAAUUUCAUUAUUUGGAAUGUAAGAGGAGCAAAUAGUGAUACCUUUAGGAGACAAUGUGAUACCUUGGUUAAGAUGCAUAAACCUGCAAUGUUAGUUCUGCUGGAAACCAGGAUGGCUGAACAUCACAGGCUCACCAAAGCUUUCAACUUUAACUCUCACAUCCAAUCUUCUGCUAAUGGUCAGUCCGGAGGUAUUAUCAUUAUGUGGAAAGAAAAUAUGUUGAAGCUUAAUAACAUUUCCAUCACACCCUAGGGCAUCCAUGUCAUGGUUAAGGUACUCUCUGACCCUUCUCAGUGGCUCUUCUUUGCUAUUUAUGCUAGUCCUAACUUUGCUACUAGGACUACCCUUUGGGACAAUCUCACCUCUAUAUCCCAGUCCUACCAGGGAGAAUGGUUCAUUGGAGGAGACUUCAAUGAAAUCCUCCAAGCUAGAGAUAAAGUAGGGGGAGAUCAAAUUAAUAAUAAAAAAUCUGAUCUUCUUAGAAGUUAUAUGAACCAGUGCAACAUGAUUGACCUAGGGUAUAGAGGCUGUAGAUAUACUUGGACCAACAAAAGGUACAAGGGUAAUAACAAUCUUAUCCUUGAAAGAUUAGACAGAUGUAUGGCUAACACCUCCUGGAUUAAGGCUUACCCUGAAGCCACUACCACCCACCUCCCCAGAAGUAAGUCUGACCACUGCCCCCUUAAAGUCCAGCUCCAGCAGCCUAUCAAUACUAAUAACAGACCCUUUAGACUAGAACCCAUGUGGUGCAUCCACCCUUUUUUUAGUGAACUCAUUCACCACUCCUUUGAACCCCCCAACACUUUGCUAAAAGCUACUGAUAACUUACAAAGGGAUGCCCUCCACUGGAAUAAGCAUAGUUUUGGUAAAAUCUUUCAUAAGCUCAAAAGAGUCCUAGCUAGGUUAGAUGGCAUUCAAAAAGCUAAUGGUUACUCUUCAAGCCCUUUUCUUCAGAAUUUAGAAGCUCAACUCCUUGUAGAGUACAACACCUACCUGAAUUAUAAGGAAGAAUUCUGGAGAACCAAGUCUAGAAUUAACUGGCUUGCUCAGGGAGAUGCAAACACCAAAUUCUUCCAUGCAUCUACCCUCAACAGAAGAAGGAAGAACAUAAUCAAUAGCCUCAAGGAUGAGGAAGGAAACUGCAUCCAAGAACCCCUGGGGAUCCAAACUAUCCUCACCACUUAAUUUUCCACUGUAUAUUCUACUGACCAUGUCAGCUCCCCUUACCCUCAGAAUCACUACCAAGCUGCUGGACCUAUCCUUAGCAAUGCCAUCUCCAAUUCACUAGCUAGCAAUCUUAGGGAUAGUGAGAUCAUCAGUGCCAUUAAAACCUUUAACCCCCAUAAGGCUCCUGGCUCGGAUGGUAUCCAUCCCCUUCUUUACCAAAAAUUCCAGAACAUUAUUGGUGAGAAGACUAUAGCUUUUUACAGAGAAGUCUUUAAUAAGCAAAACAUGCCUGAGCAAGCCAACUCGCUCUCUUCUGCCUCAUACCCAAAUUCACCAAUGCUGCUCUAGACAAAGAAUUUAUGCCCAUAGCUCUCUGUAACAAUGUCUACAAGUUGGUCACCAAGAUAAUUGUUAACAGAAUCAAGCCAAUCCUACCCUCUAUCAUUGGAUCUACCCAAGUUAUCUUCCUAUCCAAUAGGAAGGUUGCUGAUAACUCCAUCAUUGUGCAAGAAUUCAUCUCCUAUUUUAAUAAAAUAAGAGGGAGGACCCCUAGCAUGAUCCUAAAAAUUAAUCUAGGAAAAGCUUUCGAUAAGCUAGAAUGGUCCUAUAUUAGGGAUACCCUUAACUACUUCAAUUUCCCUGCUAGCCUAACCAGGAUUAUCAUGUCUUAUGUAACAGGCUCUUCCAUUUUCAUUCUCAUAAAUGGGGGGAAAACUGAAACCUUCAAAUCUUUAAGACGAAUAAGACAAGAGGAUUCUAUCUCCUCUUACUUCUUUAUCCUAUGCAUGGAAAGACUCUCAAGAGAUAUUGACAAUGUUGUCUCCUCAAGAUUAUGGAAUCCUAUCAAAGUCCCCAAUAGAGGACCUUCCAUAUCCCAUCUCUUCUUUGCUAACAACCUCACCCUGUUCUCUAAAGCAACCAAGGAAAAUUGUCAAACAAUUCAGCUGACCCUCCACAACUUUUGUAUUGUCUUUGGACAAAGAAUAAACUUUUCCAAGUCUAAAGAAAUUUUCUCCAAGAAUUUUUCUACUACUCAAGAUAAGGAAUGCAUUGACAUCCUCAACAUCUAAAAGAGCACCAACUUUGGCAAAUAUCUUGGAUUCCCCAUCUUUCACAAAAAAAUAACUCACUCUGACUUUCAGUUCAUUAUUGACAAUAUGAAUAACAAACUGAGUGGUUGGAAGACUGAGCUCCUAAACCAAGCUGGUAGAACUGUCCUUGCUAAGUCCUCCCUAGCCAGCAUUCCUUCCCAUGUUAUGCAGUACAUUAAGCUCCUUGUCAAAACAACUGAUCUAAUCAAUAGAAUCUAAAGGAACUUUGUUUGGGGCACUACUUUUGAUAAGAAAAAGCUUCACCUUGGGUAGGACAUCAUAACUAGAUCUAAGCAAGAUGGAGGGCUAGGCAUCCAGAGAAGUGAGAUAAAAAAUAGAGCCCUUUAUGUUAGCUUGGCCCGGAGAUUACAUUAAAACCCCCAAUCCCUCCGGGGAAAAAUUCUGCUGAAUAAGUAUAAAAACCCAACCAAAAAUAGUCUGGGGGCUAAAGUAAUCUCCAGAACUUGGCACUGCGUUAAGCAAGGUUGGAAGGAUGGCACUGCUGGCCAUAAGUGGAUCCUACACAAGGGGAAUACGAUUAAGUUCUAUGAGGAUAACUGGAUUCCUCAUCACCCUCCUCUCAGAUCCAUGCUCCUUGGCCCUACUAAACCUGAAGAGGAUCAGCUUACCCAAUCUGACAUCUACUCUAGCAGAACUUGGCAAUUCUAAAACUUAUCCUUUAUGAUCCCCCAGCAUAUCCAAGACAUUAUCCCCAGCAACCACAUCCUUCAUCAUAGUGUUUCUGAGGAUAAAAUGAUAUGGGGACUUACAAGUGAUGGUACUUUCAGCACCAACAGUGCCUACAAUCUUAUCAAUAGUUGUGCCCACCCUUGGGAUGCUAACAAUGAUACCUCUACUGACUUUAGGGAUAUUUGGAAAGCUAAAUGUCCAAAUAAGCUCAAAAACUUCAUGUGGCUACUAACUCAUAAAAGGCUCCCAACCAACAAGCAUCUCCACAGAAUAGGCAUGGACAUCAAGCCAAACUGCCGUUUCUGCAACUCCAAUGAGGAAGAUACUGACCAUAUCUUCUUCAAAUGCCAAAAUGCUUAUGCAUCCUGGAACGACAUAACUUUCCAUACCACCAUGUCCAUUGAAAUCACUUUUGUCACCUUUCAACAAAUGGAUUAAAUAGGGUACCAUUAUAGCUUUCUGUCUUUGGGAAAUUUGGUUAGUUAGAAACAGCAACUUGUUUAAUAAUGAGAAGAAAGCAAUAGAAACAGGAACUAUUCUUUCAAAUUCUUUAGAAUAUAAGCUUGUUGGCAAUACCCGACCCAAAUUAUUCAAAUCUGUUGGAACCCACCCCUGCUGGGGUUCAUCAAACUCAAUACUGAUGCUUCUGUUAAGCAGAACCACAACAACGGGGGGCUAAGGGGUGUCAUCAGGGAUCAUAAAGGGGAGUGGAUUAUGGGAUUUAUGGAUUGUAUCAACAAUACUACUCCAAUUGCUGCGGAAUUACAUGCUUUAAGAGGACUCUAAAUUGUAGCUCACCUGGACAUUACUCGCAUUAACAUAGAAAUGGACUCACUUCAGGCCAUAACAGCAUUCACAAAUGGGCACCUACUCCUUAACAAUCUGGUUGAUGAUUGCAGGUCAUUACUGGAGAUGGUGGAAGCAGCUCCACCAGUGCAUGUGUAUAGGGAAGGGAACAAGGUAGCUGACUUACUCGCUAAAGAAGGAGGGAGACGACAGUUGCAAAGAAGCCCAAAUAUUUUGGUAGUCCCUCCGGUGUUUGUAUUAACAAUCAUAGAUGCAGACAAACUAGGAACUAGGUAUUGUAGGAAAAUUUCAUCUUGUAAGUUUGGUACUGCUGAUCCCAUUUUGGGACAAAACUCUUUUGAUGCUCAUGUGGGCAGGGAUGUAACCUAACUCAUCUUUUACUAAUAUAUGCUCCUGUGUUAACCAAAAAUAAAACUUUUCAGAGAAAAUAAUGUCUUUAUUGUUGCAUAAUUUAUUUUUAUAGGCUUAAAAGUUAUUUCGCACUUCUGAAAGAUUUGGCUAAACCGUAAUUUUUUUGAUACUUUUAGAAUUUAUAAAUCAAACAUGAAUUAUUUCUCACCAAAAUAUUUUUUUUCGAAAAGCAAUUCAAGAAUUUAAAAGCCUGAUCAAACAUCUUAGAAGUUGGAAAUCAAAAUAUCUUAUAACAUAUUUUGCAGCUCCAUUUUUACAAAUUUCAAAUAAAAUGCUCUCCCCUUUUUUUCAAUUAAUAAAUAAAGAAACAAAAAAUCAAACACUACUUAUUCCAUAUAUUACAAAUAAAGUAACACUCUGUUUGGACGGUGGUUUGUCGUGAUAUGGUAUAGUAUGGUAUGGUAUUGUACUGUAUAGUAUAGUAUAAUAUAAUGUUUGGAUGAAUUAUAUCGUUCACUGCUGUUUAAUAAUAAUUUUUUUUUGUUUGAUUUGAUGGUAUGGUAAUGUAUUGUUACAGAUAAAUUUACUAAAAUGCCCCUAAUUAUUAUAAAUUUUAAAUUUAUCAAUAAUUGUUGAUAAAAUAACUUUCUUUUCAUAAAUUUAUUACAAAUUAAUACCUGUAAAUAUAUUAAAUUGUUAAAUUCAUGAAACUUGUAACAAAAUUAAAACUUUACAUUCAUGAAAUAAUCAAGAACUAGAAAGGACAGAUCAAAAUGUCAGGGAAUUUAGAUUAUCGUGAAAUUCUGCUUGCACCACUAUUGUGAAAGUCUCGCCUUCUAGCAAACUCAUUAAUCGACGAGGACAUAUCAAAAUGUCAGAGAAUUUAAAUUAAUGUUCUUGUAAUUCCUUCGCUUUCAAUAUUACACUCUACAUUUACGUUACUUUUUUUUUUCUUUCGUGUUGAAAGAUUUUGUCCAGUGCAUUAUUAGAUAUUGCACAACAGAAUGUGGUGCGCAACAUGAAGAUUUUAGGGAUUCUUUGCUAAAUAUAGCUUUUUAAAGUCUUCUUUUUAAUUAAAUAGACCUCAAACUUUUUUUUAGAGAAAUGACUCACUUUAAAAAUUUUAAUUUAUUUGUGAUUUAAAAAUUAUUUACAAGAUUUAAAAGUUAUAAAUUAACCCACAAAUCACCAACUUACAGAAUUUAACCCCCCCUCCCCAACUAAAUCACAAAUUAGUCCAAAACCUGAUUUGCAAUGGACUUAUCUACUAUCGAUCCGACUGAUAUAUAGAUAAAUUGAUUAUUGAUCUGACCUAUAUAUGGACAAAUCAAUUAUUGGUCUGACCUAUAUAUAGACAAAUCGAUUUUCAAUCCAACAGAUUGAUUAUCAAUCCGAACGAUAUAUGAACAAAUUGCUUAUCAAUCCGAUUGAUAUGUGGACAGAUCGAUUAUUGAUCCGAUCGAUUACAUACAUAAACACUAACCUUUUUCUUGAAAAAAAUGGACUAAAAUUAAAAGAGAGUAGAAAACUUACAAAUUUGGGAGGAGACAGAACCUUUAGGAAUAAAAUACUAUCUGCAAAAAGGAUAAAGUUGAAGAAAUAAUGAGUUUUAGUAAGAAUGGAGGAGAAAACAAAGUUAGAGAGAGGGAAAAAAGUAAUUUGAAAUUGAAAAAAUGAAUUAGGGUUUUAUGUUUUAGUAUAUUUGUAAAUACCCCAUAGUUUUUAAUAUGUCAUUGUAGUCCAAUUCUUUCUUAAAGUUAGUUAUUUUUUUAUUUUGUUUUAAAAUGAGAAAAUAGAAGUAAGUUAUUUUGCUAAUUGAAAACUUGAAGAGGCUUAUUAGUCAAACUUUCUCAAGAUAUUAAAUCUGGGAAUUGGUAUGAAAUUUAUUUUGAAGAAUAUAGAGCUUGAUAAGAGAUGGGGGACAUAUUAUUCAUCAAUGUAGGGUAAAGGGAAAAAUAGGAUUAGACAAUAUUAUGUAAGGUUAUAAUUGAAAAAAAAAGAAGUAAUAAAACCAUGGGAUACCGCAAAUUGGGUUGAUUUUAUGGUUACCAAACCAUGAAAAGAUACCAUACCAUAUAUUUUAGAAAAUAAUCAAAAUAAACAUAAUUCUCUCGGUAACCAUACCAUGGGAGCCACCAUCCAAACAGGCACUAAAAAUAUAGUGAAACUUAGGGCCCGUUUGGGAUUGCUGUUACAAAACUACUUAUUUGAGAAAUACUUUUAUAAAAUGGCUUUUCAAAAAAGUGCUUUUAAAAAUAAUAAUUUGUGUUUGGCAAAUUCAUUCGAAAAGUGUUUUUGAUAAUCAAAUUAUGUUUGGAUAAUCUUUUUCAAGAAGUGAUUUUUGAGAUAAAUGAUCAAAAAGGACAUCUAUCAAUAGCCUUUAUUACUAAAAUCAAUUUAUAGAGAAAAAUUAUUUUAAAUAUCUAUGUUAAUAUUUUUAAUUAUUUUUUUUAUUUAAUUAAAAAGUACGUACUCUAAAAUUUUCAAUCAAUAGUUACAUACAUAAAUACAUUAAAAAAAUUAAAUGGUGAUAUAUUACUUAAAUAAUUUAAAUAUUACUUAAAACAUCAAAUAAAAAUGAAUACAAAAGUUAUUUCAUAAAUUAAAUCAUUAAAAGUUAGCAAACACUAUAUUCAUGCUUACAAAUAUCUAAAUGAGAUAAUAUUUGUUAUUUGUUAGCUUUUCUUUUGGAUAUGUUUUUACCAUUUCAAUUAUAAAACUAAGUAACCAAAUUCAUAUAUGUAUACUACCUGAUGACAAAUAUUUAAAAUAAAAUUCUAUCUAUUAUUUGUUAUCUUUUUUAAUAUAUUUUUACGGUGUCAAAAUUUACUACGAAUAAGCAGUCAUCAUAUUCAUAUAUAUAUAUAUAUACACACACACACACUAUAUAUAUAUGUAUACUACCUGAUGACAAAUAUUUAAAAUAAAAUUCUAUCUAUUAUUUGUUAUCUUUUUUAAUAUAUUUUUACGGUGUCAAAAUUUACUACGAAUAUGCAGUCAUCAUAUAUAUAUAUAAAUAUAUAUAUACAUACAUACUAUGUUUUAACAAAUAUGUCACUUUUAAAUUUAUAUGUGAUGUCAAAAUACAAUCUUGUAACGUGAUUCAUCUGUCAAUUGUUAUCAUUAAUAAUAAUAAAAUAAUUUAUAUAUUUUUUAGUCAUCAUCAUCAAUGAUAUUUUCAAAUUUAUUUUAAAAAAAUAACAAUAUAUAAAUCAUAAAGAAUUAUGACGUAAAUUUGAAAUGUAAAAUUUUAAAAAUCAAACGUUAAUCAAACUUGUAAGAUAUGUUAAUUAAUUAAUAAGGUAUAUAUAUGUGUGUGUGUGAUAGGGAUAUUUUUGUUAUAAAAAAAUAAUUUUCUACUUCUGCUUUUGCUUUUUUUGAGAAGCAGAAAUUUUCUAUUUCUAGAAAAAACUAUUUCUGCUUAUUUUUAAAAACACUUUUGCAAGUUUAUCAAACACUUUUUUUUAAAUAUUUUUUUUCUCAAAAUAAAUGCUUAUUUUGAGAAAUAAAUAAUCCCAAACUGGCUAUUAAUGCCAAACUCCAACUAAAAAUUAUUUCACUAAAGGAAAAAAAAAAACUGUACUUUUCGUGAAUUUCCUCCUCCGGCGCAAGCCCGACCCUGUGAAUAAGCAGCCACAUACCCCGCUUUAGAAUAGUUCAAAAUCAUAACUAACUCUCCAGACUCCACUUUCUACUAUUCGAUUAAGCAAAAAACCUUCACAUUUUCCCCACAUUUCUCCUUCUCACACACAUUUCCACUGAGAUUAAUUAGUUAAGCAGACAAGAGUAAAAUUAUGGCAGCAACAGCAAAAGCAGGAGCAGUAGGGCCUGGACGAUCAACUUCAGCGUACAGCGAAGUCCAACACAACCGUCUCAUUGUAUCGCUUCCUCUACCUUCUGUCCUCAAAUCUCCCUUCUCCGUUGUUGAUGGCCCUCCUAGUUCUGCCGCUGGAAAUCCAGGUUAAUCUCACUUUUUUCUGUGUUUCAUCCUUUUCAAUAAGGGGGUGGUUUGAUAGCUGGUUAGAAUUAUGGAGUCAUUAGUUAUAUAGUAUUAGUUAUGCAAGUAUUAGUUGUUCCAUAUUGUACUCCACAUAAGAUAAUAUACCAAUUCACUCAUAACUUAUACGAAGGGAAGCCUUGGAGUGUAAUCGGUAAAGGUGCUGCCAUGUUGACCAAGAGGUCACAGAUUCAAGCUAUAGAAACAACCAGAAAUGCAAGGUAAGGCUGCAUACGAUAAAUUCUUGUGGUUUGACCCUUCCUCCGGCCCUGCGCAUAUAGGAGAUUUAGUACACCGGGCUGCCUUUUUUUUUACUAAUAACUUAUACGUGUAUUACUUAUGCGAGUUCAUAAAUUGUAAACCAAAUGUCGUAUUAAUUUUAUACCUGAAUAACUUAUUUCCUGAUUGGCUAUCUAACAUUGUAUAACUUAUCCAUAAAUUAAUACAAGAAUAAAUUGUUUCUUUAUUAGCUGCCAAAUGACCCUUAUUUGUAUAUGACCAACUUCAACUUACGGAGAACAUGGUUUUGAAGGUUUGGAUAUCAAGGAUUAGGUUAGAAGGUUAGUAGGUAACCGAGUGUGGUCGCCACCCCUUAGGUGAGAGAGGCAGGGGGCUUGACCCAUAUCCUUUUCUCCUUAUUAUUAAUAUUUUUUACUUUUUACUAAUCAUGUGUAUAGUUUCUUAUUCUUCUAUGUGUUUCUACUAUUUGUAGCUUCAUUUUGUGUUGUCUCUUGAUAUUUUGUUGUCAUUUUUACUUUUUGCGAUCCUUUAAUGAAUCACUUCCCUUUUAAGCCUAGGGUCUAUCUGAAACAACCUCUGAUCUCUAGCUAGCUCCUAAGGGUAAAGUCUGCGUACAUCUCACCCUCCACUGACCCUUCCUGUAGGAUUACACUAAGUAUGUCGUUACUUCGGUGCUGACUUGCAUUAUGUUUAUAAGAGGAAAUAUUUAAUGUGACCAGUGUAAUUUAACUAAUUCCAACAUGUUACUAGAUGCUUUCUGCUGUUGAAUUUUAGUUAAUUGAUUAUGUUUCCUAUUACAAAGAUAUGUAGCAUUGAAUGUGCAAAGGAAUGGAAAUAAACUGACAUUCGCUUGAUGUGUAACACAAGCAUUAUCACUGACUUUGUAUUCUAGUCAUUUUUUUAUUUAUAGAUGUUAGAAGCAUUUAAUCAACAACAACAACAACAAACCCAGUGUAUUCCCACCUAGUGGGGUCUGGGGGGGUAAGAUGUACGCAGUUCAUACCUCUACCUCUGAUGAAGUAGAAAGGCUGUUUUCGAUAGACCCCUGGCUCAAGACACGAGAUACCACACAAACACAUAGUAAAACACAGAAGCAGAUUACAUAACAUAAAUACGGCACCCAUAAGUAAUAUAAAACAGAGGAAAGCAAAGGAAAGCACACAGAUUCGUAAUAAAACAUGGAACACGGAAUCAUAACAGGAAUAAAACCCCCACCAAGUAAUUCCCUACCCUAGCGACCCAAACUGGCCCUAAUCCUCUGCCGAAAUUCGCGCCCUCCAGACCUUCCUAUCUAGGGUCAUGUCCUCGGUGAGCUGUAACUGUUCCAUGUCCCGCCUAAUCACCUCACCCCAGUACUUCUUCGGCCUCCCCCUCCCCCGCCUAAAACCAUCCAACGCUAGCCUCUCACACCUACAGACCGGGGCCUCCAUGCCCCUCCUCUUCACGUGUCCGAACCAUCUCAAUCGUGCUUCCCGCAUCUUACACUCCACUGAAGUCACACCAACCUUCUCCCGGAUAGUCUCAUUCCGAACUCUAUCCCCUCGAGUCAGUCCACACAUCCAGCGCAACAUCCGCAUUUCUGCCACCUUCAUUCUUUGGGUGUGGGAGUUCUUAACUGGCCAACACUCCGCUCCAUACAGCAAGGCCGGACGGACUACCACCCUAUAGAAUUUACCUUUAAGCUUGGGCGGCACCUUCUUAUCACACAGCACCCCCGAUGCAAGUUUCCACUUCAUCCAUCCCGCCCCGAUACGGUGCGAGACAUCCUCGUCAAUCUCACCGUUACUCUGGAUCACGGACCCGAGGUACUUGAACUUAUCCCUUUUCUUUACCUCCUGCGCUUCUAGCCUCACCACUACCUCAUUCUCUCGCCUUACGUCAUUAAACUUACAUUCCACAUACUCUGUCUUGGUUCUGCUCACCCUGAACCCUUUAGACUCCAGAGUUUGCCUCCACAGCUCUAAUUUGUCGUUCACACCCCCUCGCGUCUCAUCUAUCAGGACUACAUCGUCUGCAAAAAGCAUACACCACGGCACCUCCCCUUGGAUACGCCGCGUUAACACAUCCAUUACUAGCGCAAACAAAAAGGGACUAAGAGUAGAUCCCUGAUGCAAUCCUGUCAGGACAGUGAAAUGCUCUGAGUCUCCUCCCGCCGUCCUCACCUGGGUUUUCGCUCCCUCAUACAUAUCCUUAAUUACUCUGCUAUAUGCCUGCGGUACUCCACUCACCUCCAAGCAUCUCCAAAGCACCUCCCUGGGGACUUUGUCGUACGCCUUUUCUAGGUCGAUGAACACCAUGUGCAAAUCCUUCUUCCUUUCCCUAUAUUGCUCCACCAACCGCCGUACCAGGUGAAUUGCCUCCGUCGUCGAGCGGCCGGGCAUAAAUCCGAACUGAUUUUCCGAGAUAGACACUAUCCGUCUCAGCCUCACCUCGACCACUCUCUCCCAGAUCUUCAUAGAGUGACUCAGUAACUUAAUCCCCCUAUAGUUAUUGCAACACUGAAUGUCCCCCUUAUUCUUAUAGAGGGGGAUCAUGGUACUCCACCUCCACGCCUCGGGCAUCUUUGCUGUCCUGAAAAUUUCAUUGAACAAUGCAGUCAACCACCUUACACCAGCCUCUCCAACGAACUUCCAAAACUCCACCGGUAUCUCAUCCGGCCCCGUCGCCCUACCCCUUCGCAUCCUGCGGACUGCCUGUCUAACCUCGUCUACCUUAAAACGUCUACAAUAGCUAAAAUCCCGACACUCCCCUGAGUGCUCCAGUUCCCCUAACACAAUAGCUCUGUCCCCCUCGUCAUUCAAGAGCCUAUGAAAGUACGACUGCCAUCUCUUCUUUAUGUGGCCGUCCUCCACCAACACUCUACCGUCCUCCCCCUUAAUGCACCGCACCUGAUCGAGGUCACGACCCUUCCUCUCCCUAGCCUUAGCGAGUCGGAACAACUUUUUCUCCCCUCCUUUCCCCUGUAACCCUGCAUACAAGCUCUCAAAAGCAGCCGUCUUAGCUGCCGUGACCGCUGACUUCGCCUCCUUCCUUGCUAGCUUGUACUCUUUCCUGUUUACCCGCUUCUCCUCUUCGUCCUUACUUUCCACCAACUUAGCAUACGACUCUUUCUUGGUCUCCACUUUCUUCCCCACCUCUUCAUUCCACCACCAAUCCCCCCGAUGAUGUCCGGCCCGGCCCCUAGAAACACCCAACACCUCCCUUGCAUUUUCCCUGAUGCACGCUGCCGCCCUGUCCCACAUAUUAUCCACGUCCCCCCUACACUCCCACACCCCCAUUCCCGCCAACCUCUCCCCUAUCUCCCACGCAUUCACUGGCGUCAAACCGCCCCACUUAAUUCUCGGUCUACACUCCUUACUCCUCCUCUUUUUAUUCUUCUUCAUACCCAAAUCCAUAACCAAGAGCCUAUGUUGGGUCGAAAGGUUCUCACUCGGGAUGACUUUACAAUCUUUACACAGCGCCCUAUCCCCUUUCCUAAGCAACAAGAAGUCAAUCUGGGUCCUGGCUACCGCGCUCCGAAAAGUGAUCAGGUGGUCGUCCUUCUUCGGGAAGCCCGAGUUCACCACCACCAGCCCAAACGCCCUCGCAAACUCCAAUAGGGUCGCCCCCUCUUCAUUUCUCUCCCCAAAACCAAAACCUCCAUGCACAUCCCCAAAGCCUCCCGGUAGCGCCCCGAUGUGCCCGUUGAAAUCCCCUGCUACCACAAUCUUCUCCGAACUGGGCACGCCUCUCACCACGUCCUCCAAGGCCUCCCAGAACCGCAUCUUCUCCUCCCCCUCCGAUCCCACAUGCGGCGCAUAGGCACUACACACGUUCAGGGUAAACCCCCGAAUGACCAACUUGAUAGUCAUCAACCUAUCGUUGAUCCUCUUCACCUCCACUACCUGACCUCUAAGCUCUUCAUCUACCAAGAUGCCAACUCCAUUCCUACGCCUGUCGCUCCCAGAGUACCACAGCUUGUAACCGUCCACAUCCCUAGCCUUAGACCCUACCCACUUGGUCUCUUGGACACACGCAAGGUUGAUCCUUCUCUUCCUAAGAAUCUUCACCAGCUCUAUGGACUUCCCCUGAAGGGUCCCUAUAUUCCAAGACCCAACCCUCAGCCUACCGUCGCUAUCCACGCGCCCCCCACUNNNNNNNNNNNNNNNNNNNNNNNNNNNNNNNNNNNNNNNNNNNNNNNNNNNNNNNNNNNNNNNNNNNNNNNNNNNNNNNNNNNNNNNNNNNNNNNNNNNNNNNNNNNNNNNNNNNNNNNNNNNNNNNNNNNNNNNNNNNNNNNNNNNNNNNNNNNNNNNNNNNNNNNNNNNNNNNNNNNNNNNNNNNNNNNNNNNNNNNNNNNNNNNNNNNNNNNNNNNNNNNNNNNNNNNNNNNNNNNNNNNNNNNNNNNNNNNNNNNNNNNNNNNNNNNNNNNNNNNNNNNNNNNNNNNNNNNNNNNNNNNNNNNNNNNNNNNNNNNNNNNNNNNNNNNNNNNNNNNNNNNNNNNNNNNNNNNNNNNNNNNNNNNNNNNNNNNNNNNNNNNNNNNNNNNNNNNNNNNNNNNNNNNNNNNNNNNNNNNNNNNNNNNNNNNNNNNNNNNNNNNNNNNNNNNNNNNNNNNNNNNNNNNNNNNNNNNNNNNNNNNNNNNNNNNNNNNNNNNNNNNNNNNNNNNNNNNNNNNNNNNNNNNNNNNNNNNNNNNNNNNNNNNNNNNNNNNNNNNNNNNNNNNNNNNNNNNNNNNNNNNNNNNNNNNNNNNNNNNNNNNNNNNNNNNNNNNNNNNNNNNNNNNNNNNNNNNNNNNNNNNNNNNNNNNNNNNNNNNNNNNNNNNNNNNNNNNNNNNNNNNNNNNNNNNNNNNNNNNNNNNNNNNNNNNNNNNNNNNNNNNNNNNNNNNNNNNNNNNNNNNNNNNNNNNNNNNNNNNNNNNNNNNNNNNNNNNNNNNNNNNNNNNNNNNNNNNNNNNNNNNNNNNNNNNNNNNNNNNNNNNNNNNNNNNNNNNNNNNNNNNNNNNNNNNNNNNNNNNNNNNNNNNNNNNNNNNNNNNNNNNNNNNNNNNNNNNNNNNNNNNNNNNNNNNNNNNNNNNNNNNNNNNNNNNNNNNGGAGAUCGGGCCGGAGGUCGGCGCCGGGGGCCGGAUCUGCGCAGACGGUCGAAUCAAGUUAAACAGUACCUUCAGAGAGAGAGAGAGAGAGAGAGAGACGUUUAGUUUAGUCGAGGUCAGUUAGCUAAACUCACUACUAAAAAUUUCCAAGAAUGCAUUUUUCCAAUUCCAAAACACAACAAACAAAUUUUUAGGUGUAAAAAGAGCUUUCACUUGUAUGAUGUCUUCAUCACAUAUGGAGCUUCCCCUCCAACCAUAGUCAAACAGAUUUACUUAGAUGUCGUUAAAACAACACUACUUAAAUAAUACUUCCUUCUAGCACUUAGAAAGGUCCAGCCCUAUUAGAUUUCUCAGCAGAAAAUAUUCAUACAUACUAAUUUUUUAAUAGAAUUUAAGAUACCUACAUGAACCAGAAAACUGCCCCAAUAUUUUAAGUCACAAAAAAACGAACUACUGCUGCUGGAAGCUCAUAGGCAUAACUUAGAAAACUUUUACAAUUUUUUUAUAACCCUUUUUACAUAAAAGGUUCCGCUCAUAGUUACAGAUGCGAUGACCACUUUUAAUAAGAUUAACUUUGGGUUCUUUUUAAACCAAAGACGCAUAUUCAGAAGAUUUCAAUUUAAGGUAGAAAACUGACAAUAAAUACAGAUAGAAUAGUCCUAUUUGCUAAUUCAAUAAAAUGUUCAGCACUGUAAUAAAGGCUAUCUCAGAAUGUAAAACAAAAGUUUAAAGCAUUUCAUACCUUUCUCAUUUUUUCUAAUACUGAGUCUUCAAAUUUCUGGUAUCCAGCACCUACAAGAUUACUCAAAAUUGGGUCCUCAGAUUCACCAUUUUUCUCAGCGCUAGAAAAUGGAGAUGGAGUUAGAGGUUGGAGGGGCACAACUAAGAGAGGAUUUGAUAGAUCCCCCAAGAUCUUUCCACAAGAAGCUUUAGCUGCAUCCUUAGAUGACUAGUAAAUAAUAGAUUAAUAAGGUCUCUAUCUUCUUAUACUUGGUACCAAAAUUUGGCCUAGCUAAUUUUGGACUACAUAAAAAUUAUCUAAAUGUUAUAUCUUAUAUACCAACUUAGGUUUUUACCUUAGUGAAUAGUUUUAUUAAUCGUGUGGUUUUCCAUGAGAUCGCCAUGAGUUCUUUGCCAAAUUAGGUAGAGUGGGGAAGAUUAGAACUAUUUUCAUCUUGAAUCUAGCACUGUCACAAGGUACUAUUCUUCAUAAAAGAAGUUUUGUCUGUUUCUUUUUAAUGAGUAUUUGUUACUCCAUUUGUCACAAGGAAACUAGAGGUUUAGAUAUUUAGUGUGUUAUAACCAGUUUGAAAAGGUUGAAGCUAUUAAUGACUAAUAAAUGAGGUAAAUCAAAUUUUCUUUCCUCAAAAUGUAGAUAGUUUUUUUAUAUAAACACAUCAGACAUGUUCAGUUUCCCAUCCCAUUAGCCCAAGAAAUAGAAAAUGCUUAAGUGUUCUAGUACAGACAAGGUUUUUCAUAUGCUUAGCUCAUAUUCAUGUUAGCAUUGAUAUUGUAGGUGAAAUUGCAAAGCUUUUCCCAAAUCUGUUUGGGCAGCCUUCCGUGUCAUUACGGCCAGGUACAUCUGGGGCUGCAUUGAAUCAUAAUCUUAAAAUUGGGGUUGUGUUGUCUGGAGGACAGGCCCCUGGUGGGCACAAUGUCAUAUCUGGAAUUUUUGGUGAGUGUUUCUCCAAUAGUUCUUACUUUAUGGUAUUUACCUUUUUGUAGUUCUGUGGAUAUGUAUAGCUAGGUAUUGGUACAUAAGCGUGUACCUCAGCAAUUAAUUGAUUAUUUUUCUUCUAGACUAUUUGCAGGAGAAAACGAAAGGCAGCACUCUCUAUGGAUUCAGGGGAGGUCCAGCAGGGAUAAUGAACUGUAAAUAUGUAGAGUUGACGGCGGAUUUUGUUUAUCCUUACAGAAAUCAAGUAAGAAAUUUCUUCAUCCUUGGGUGAAAGUUCAUAAAUAUGACCAAGAAAAUCCAAUCCCCCCUAAGGGCCAAGAGUCAUUUUCAUAACCAGAGUAAAAUUGAAAUGAAAUGGAUUUUUUACUUUCCAUCAUCUAGUUAAGAUACAUGGUCUUUGUUUGCUCAUGCUCCAAAAGAAUUUUCUAUAACAAAUUUUGCUUGUGGACUUUCGUGGAAAAAAAUAUUUUUCUAUCCGGAGUUUUUUGUGGCAAUAUGAUGGCACCUUAUUUAGCUUAUGAUGUGAGAACUUUACAACACUUCCUUUGGUAAUUAAACUUUUCAUUAAUCACCAAGUAAGGGCUUUGCAUUGCUUAGCGUAACAGGUCACAGCUAGCUAAGCUCAGGGAGAAUACACUCUUAUCGUCCUAUACAUCAGUGCUACCUGUCUAGAUCUAUCAUUUACAAACUUCAAAAAGAAUUCCUUCUUAGAAGAUGAGUUUCUGUUGUUUCAUAAUGCACCCUCAGCCCUCACACUGCAGAUGCAUACUCUUUCUCUUGCUAACUCCUUUCUUUCCUUCAAAAACCCGAUGGUUCCUUUCUCUCCAUAUGUCAUGUAUAUAUUCAGCAUAUGUCAGUUUGAGAAACUUUGCCUGUUGUGUUUUACCUCUGGUGCGACUGGUUAUCCAACCGAAGUAAUGCUGCCAUGAAUCAAUCAGAACUGGUUGAACUUUGCAACUUGAUUAAGUUAAAUCUACCUUCGGUUUAGUGUAUUAAUUGUUCUUAUUGUUUUCUCUCUUUGAUUUACUGUCCAAUUUUACUUUUGUAGGACGUGUCUCAUUGAUAAUUUUUUGACAGGGUGGCUUUGAUAUUAUCUGUAGUGGUAGAGACAAGAUAGAAACCGAUGAACAGGUUGUCUUUCUUUUAUUUCACAUUAAAAUAGGACUCACAUUCAAAUAGGACUAUCAAAUUCUGCACUUCUUCACUUAGCAGCAUCUUUUUAUUGCUUUUAUUUUUGCUACGUAAACUGUGUUUCAUUGUAAAAGAGUUUGCAUGAUGUUAUUAUUAUUAUUUCUUUUUUCAGUUUAAUCAAGCUGCAGAAACAGCUAAGAAACUUGACUUAGAUGGGAUUGUUGUGAUUGGUGGAGAUGAUUCAAACACAAAUGCUUGUCUUCUAGCCGAGAACUUCAGGCACGUAUUAUCAUUGAGAGAGUAUCGGUUAUCCCCUGAACUUGUCACGUUUUAUUCAUGGUAUACCUGAACUUUGAUUAGUCCUAAGUACCCCCGAACUUGUUCUUUUGUCAUAUCGCGUGACCCCUUUUUGCUGAUGUGGCAAAUGUUUGAGCGCGAUGGAGGUAUUUUUUUGCCAAAUCAGCAUUUUCAAUGACAAAAAAACGAAAAAAAAUCCAUUUUCCUUUAUUUUUUUCAAAAAGUUCAAUUAUCCCUAUUCUUCAUUACUUCCAAUCUAAAAAAAAAAAUUCAUCCUUUUAUUAAUUUUGUAAAACUCUAGUUUAUUAAUUAGUUUAUGAAAUAAAAAUUUCAUCCAUUUAUUAAUAUUGUAGAAAUUUUGUUUAUUAAUCUAAAAAAAAACAUUCGUUAAUUAAUUCAAUCUAAAAUUCCAAUUUUCAUUCCUAUGAAACUCAUUCAAUUUUGUAAUCUUAAUUAUAUAUAUCAUAUGAGUUAUUGUAACUAAAAAAAUAUACUAAAUAUCGAAGUAGAUAUUUUAAACAAUAUUAACAAAACAAAUACUAAACAAACCAAGACACAUACAUAUAAACAAAUACUAAAGAAACCAAGACACAUACUUAUAAUAAAUGUACUUAUAUUAGUUAUCGGUUUUUAAUCCCUAACGAUUUGAUUUUCAAUUUAACCGAUAAUAAAAUACUCAUAAAAUAGAAAUCGAAUUAAUAACCCAAUAUUUUGUUUACAAAAUCAGUAAAAAAUCGUUAACACAAUAACGCUAAGUCAAUAACACUUUUAUCGGUUCGAUUUUUAUACACCCCUAACUGAAAUUGUAAUUUCUUAAUCCAUUAAUUAUAAUAAGAAACGUAUUUGUGUAUGUGAGUCUCCUCAAAAUCCUAAUCGAAACACUACUCGAAAACUACUAUGAAACACUAACCGAAAAAGAUAAUUUCAUAUUAUGAAACACUAACCGAAAAAAAAUAAUUUCAUAUUUUUAACACACAAAAAAUUAUAAUUUUUUAGAUAAUAGCUUACUUAAUCGAUGUAAAUUAUACCUUUUACUAUUUUGGAGUAGAGAAAAAUUGAAAAAUAUAAUUUUCUUAGAGAAAAAUUGGAUAAUUAAGGGUAGAAAUGGGUUAUUUUUUAAUAUAGGAUACAUAUAAGGAAAGUUAAUGGUAUUAUCCACGUGGACAGCGACAUCAGCAUAUUUUUUCCAUGUGUACGCGCGUGUAUUACAUGCUAUGGACUGUGGGUCGAAAAGUGGGGCGCGAUGUACUAAAAAAAUAAGUUCGGGUACUUAGGACUAGUCAAAGUUCAGGUGUAUCAUGAAUAAAACGUGACAAGUUCAGGGGUAAUUGAUACUUCUCUCUAUUAUCAUUAUAUUGGACUGGCUCAUGGUAUUCAUCAUUGGCAUUCUUCUCAUGGAACUUUGUUUAUUUGGUGCGACUGAAGGGGUAAAGGUUUGAAAACACGGGUUAUUGGAUGCCCAAAGACAAUUGAUGGUGAUUUGAAAUGCAAAGAAGUUCCUACUAGUUUCGGAUUUGAUACUGCUUGCAAGGUAUUUGUUUUCCCUUUUGUCGUAUUUCCUAAAUCCUAGCUCCAUUUUACUUUACAUUGUUUCUAUAAAUAACAUCUAGUUAGCACUUCUUCUUGACCUUUAAUUUUUGUUACUUCUAGUAUGCGAUACAUUUUUGAAAUAGCGUUACUACAGAAGAAUUUUAUGCUGUCUCUAUCUUGUACUCAAAACUGUUAUGGAAGUAUUUCAUCCAAACUCUUGUUGCUUUCUUAGUUUUCUCAGUAAUGAAAUAUUGUCACCACAAAGUUGAUAACUUCGGUAGGUUAUUCCUAUCUGUGGAAUGGAUAGAUAGAGAUUAUGCAACUUCACAAUUUCGGUGCAGAUAUACGCAGAAAUGAUUGGAAAUGUCAUGAUAGAUGCUCGUUCAACAGGAAAAUACUAUCACUGUAAGUACAUAAUUGUGAACAACUUGGGAUACUAUAUUCAUGUAUAACUUCGAGGACUAGGACUUGUUUCUUCUAACUAAAUUUGUAAUUUUAACUCUUAGUACUAUUAUUUAUGUUCCUUUUAUUAAGAAAUUUCUGGUUUCUCUAGUUGUAAGGCUUAUGGGUCGUGCUGCAUCACACAUCACAUUGGAGUGUGCUCUACAGACCCAUCCGAACAUUACCAUCAUUGGCGAAGAGGUAAUUGUUUGCCAAGUCAUUGGCAUGGUUUUCAUGCAUGUAACAACAUAUUACACUAAAUAUGUGCCCAAAACUUGAUGAGAGAAUUAAGUAUUCUCCUAGAUUUCAUAACAAAUGUGCAGUUUUAUGAGAAUAACUGUUCUGUUGGAUGCAUCUAUUGUGAAUGAGCGCUUUAUUCGUACAUAUGUAAAAUACUGAAAACUAUAGCAUGUUUUCAGGAAGUAAAUUCUUUCAAGAGGCUAUCUGUAACGAUAUGUCGAAUCUGUGGCCUUAUUUUUCGCUUGCCUUACUUGCCUGAAGUUUGAAACUUCACAUUUGUCCUCCGACUUUGUAAAAAUCAGCUCCUUUAAGAUGAGCAUAAAAUCAUCAAAAGAUGCUGGUCUUAAUUAAUAGAGGAUAAACCCAGCUUCUAACAUAAUUUCCACGAUGCCUUUUUAAUGAUUCUUUUCUUUUCUUUUUUUAAGUAUUGUUCUUAUUUUUUUUUUCAUUUUUGCACACUUCUCUUGUUUCUUGAGAGGAGUUCAUGUUUGGAGUCCCCACUCGAGUAUAAUCUGAAAGAGCUAAUAAAUGAAAUUUGAAGAAAUGGGAAUUGGGUUUUAAUUAUUUUCGGAAGUUCAAUUUUAUUCAAUGAGUUUUUCUAAGUUUCUAUUGUAUACCAUGUCUAAGGAGAAGACUUUAAUUUCAUCACUUAAAUUACUAGGUAAGGACUUAAGUAAAUGUCAUUGAGAUGAAUGAUUGAUUGGAUUAAAAUUUCAUUUCAUUUCUUUCUUUUUCCUGAAAUUUUUUCUGUAAAGAGGAACAUAUACAUAUUAGAAUUGUCUUUAUAGGAACUGUUUUGUGAUUUUCCCUUAUAAUGACGAGGGUACUGUUUUGCUACAGGUUGCAGCCCAGAAGCAAACACUUAAAAGUGUUACAGAUUACAUUGUAGGAGUAAUUUGCAAACGAGCAACACUUGGUUAUAAUUAUGGGGUUAUACUAAUACCCGAAGGCUUGAUUGACUUCAUUCCAGAGGUUUAAACUUUUAACUGUAGAAAUCAUGAUUUCCACUCUAUUUCUUGUUGUAUAACUUUUGAUCAUGCCUACCACCAUUUCACGCAGUUCUCCUUUCUGCUUGUUUGUCUGGUGCAUCUGAUUCGGUUGAUUCGUUUAUUAGCAUGAACAGAAAAACAAUUAGUUGUUGUUAAGAUUAUCUCUUUUAUUUGCAGGUGCAACAGUUGAUUGCAGAGCUCAAUGAAAUCCUGGCUCAUGAUGUUAUCGAUGAAGCUGGCAGUUGGAAAAAGAAACUUCGAAGCCAGUCUCAUGAGCUUUUUGAACUCUUACCACAAGCAAUUCAGGAGCAGUUACUUCUUGAAAGAGAUCCACAUGGAAAUGUCCAGGUACUCGCCUUCAGUUUGAUGGAAGUCAGGCAAAUAGGACACUUGCUCAUUUAAUCAAGUCAUACUAUGUUCUUUUUCUUCUAGUACAUUUUCUUUUGCAAUUUCUACAGGUUGCCAAAAUAGAAACUGAAAAAAUGCUUAUUCAAAUGGUGGAAGCUGAACUUGUAAAUAAGAGGAAGGAAGGUUCAUAUACCAAACAUUUUGGAGGGCAGUCUCAUUUUUUCGGGUAAUUGAUACCACUUGCAUUUGACUUGUGCAGUUCUGCUUUGAUAACCUAUAAUUGAUAGAGUACUUAGCACCUCAUUCUUAAGUCUAUCCUUAUUAUUGUUCUUACUUGGCCCUGUUUUCUUUGUAGCUACGAGGGUAGAUGUGGUUUGCCUUCAAAUUUUGACUCCAACUAUUGCUAUGCAUUGGGUUAUGGGGCUGGAGCACUUCUUCAGUCUGGAAAAACAGGCUUGAUUUCCUCUGUCUGUGUUUCCAUGCCUCCUUAUAUCUCCCCUCCUUUCUCCCUUCCUUUUACAUCACUAUUUUUAUGUUAUACAUCUGGACCUUUAAUUAAUUGCAAUUUAUACUGACACACUUGUCAUAUAUAGGUGGGAAAUUUGGGAGCUCCAGUUGAAGAGUGGACAGUUGGUGGAACAGCGCUAACAUCUUUGAUGGAUGUUGAAAGGAGACAUGGUAUCAACCUCCUUCCUCUCUUAUUCAUCAAAUAUGGAUUUAUGGUGUUUUCUCGCUAUUGCUAAGCAAAAGUCUUAUAACUGCGAAGUGCCUGAUUUUGUUCAGACUUUUGCUCUUCUGUUUAGAUAAAUUUAGCUGAUUACCUUAGUACUAAAAGAAACUAUCCAAAUUUGUCUGUUCUGAAGCAUUUAUUUAGUCAUUUCAAGCAUAUAUUCAGGCAAUUCUAGCCUAAGGACGAGUCUUAGCCUUCCAAUAUAUAUGGAAACCAUUUCCCUAAAC
rnacentral:lncRNA from 1 species